rnacentral:lncRNA from 1 species
UUUUUUUUUUUUUUUUUUGUAUAUCUCACAUUUUCUCAAGUGUCAUGAUAGGUAGUCUAAAGGCACAUUAUUAUUCUUAUAUCAGAUAAAAUAAAAAAAAAUAGAGUGUAUAUUAUUGAGUUGAUAACAAAUGUCGUAAUAAAAGUGCUAUAAUGACACAAACCAACAAGUGUUCUUAUAGACAUGUCAGGAAAAGCCAUUUUUGUUGUAGUGUCCUCAUCACCAUGCCACCCCACCACAGCCACCAACCAUAUCAUAGAUGUCUUUGAUGUAUGUAUAAAGUAUUCAAGGCUGCAGGCAUAUGUUUGAUCUUUAGAUCCCUUGUAAUAGUAAUACUUAGUGGAACUGAAAUUCCCAAUUCAAUAAAAAAAAAAGAGAAAAAAAUCUAUGAGAUGACUAAUUAGAUCAAUCCAUGAAGCCUUCAGAUCAUUUCAAAUAUAUGUUGAGAAUCGAAGUCAAGAAAUUUUGAAGUUACUAUAGAUUUGAUGGUGCGCAAUAUAGUUAAACAUGAUUAUAAGUUUCUCAAAUCUAGACAACUAGGCAUAAAAACAACUCUCUUUUUCUUUUUUCUUUUUUUUUGGUUCAAGAGGAAACUUCAAACCUUGCAAAGGAGGAAAGGGAAGUGGCACUUUAAUUUUGCAAAACGAAGAUCUUUAUUACCUACAGGGCAUCUGGUGUCUCCGAUUGGAUGGUUUGGAAUUCCUGGUUUCCUCAAUUCUGUGUCCAAGUUAUGCAAAAUAUAAAGGGGAUUAUGGAGAAAACAAAAUUUUUAUGCUAUAAUGGAAAAGAAAAUUUAAGGAAGCAAAAUGAGCACCCAAUUUUACCCAGUACUAAUUGAGCUAUUGAACAAUAACAGUAGAGACCAAAUUAAGAGAUUUAUAUAGAUUAAAGCCCAAAAGCGCAAGCAAAAUGUCAUGUGAAGCAACAGUAACAAACUCUGUACAUGAACCAUGGUUCUUCAAUGAAAGUCACAGACCUGUGUAUCUUUUGAGAGAUAGUUCUUCGUUUCCAAUAUUUUACCAUCAAGUUAUGUACGUGCCAAUAUGAUCUAUGCAAACAGGUUAAGAUAUCCCAUGUAUGAUCUGAUCUAGAACUCCAUACUAGUGUCAAUUGUUGCAUGUUUGCCGUUGAAUUUUCUUAAAGAUCUGCAUAAAUGGCCUCUUACAAACUAUUAGAUUAAGACUCUGAAAUUCUAUUAAAGUAAUUUAAUUAAGGGUAAAUUACUUAUAAUCUCCUGCAAUUUUACAUAGUGUCAGAUGGCCCCCUAUGGUUUCAAAAUAGCCACAUAUCCUCUCUAUGGUUUUAUGUAAAGUAGAAAAUGGAUGGAAUGCACAAUCACUUACACUGUUUAUACCAAAAGCGCUCUAAAAGCACGUGUGGUAAAAUUUUAAUCUGCAUAUAACUCCUUCAUGGUUUGUAUAAAUAUAAAUAUCCACUUUACUCUCUUUUGAAUUUUGCAUUUAUCCAUAUAAUCCCCUUAUGCUUUUAUAAAAAAUAGUUGGUUGUCAAUAGAUUUGGCAUUUAAAUAAGGGUACUAUUGGUAUUUCAAUUAACGACAUUACAUAGGUUAUUUUCUAUCAACUUUUCACUUUAUAUAAAACCAUAAGUGAGUGAAAUGGAUAUCUUGAAAUAUUAGAGGGGCCAUGUAGCAAUAAACGAAACCAUAGAGAGGGUUAUAUGUUAUUUACCCUUUAAUUGAUGACCAUGACUACGUGGAAGUUGGAUGCUUCAAAAUAUAAGACACGAUAAUAGUCGUUAAUAAGUUUCUGUUUGAUCAAUUUUUCCCCUUUGCUCACUCAUGUUCUUGGUUUUUUUUUUUCAAAUUUGAUGAAAAUAAAGGUGAAGCAAUAUUUUUGUGAGUUAGAACGCCACCUUGCAAAUCCUAUAGGCAGGUUUUUUUUUUUUUCAAUUUAAAAAGUUAUUCUAAAUCUUACAAUGAUGAUAAUAAAAAAAAUAAAAAAAUUGAAGAGUCCAAAUAAAGUCCUCACGAACGUUGCGAAUCAUAUAUAUAUAUAUAUAUAUAUAUAUAUAUAUAUAUGUAUAUAUAUAUAAAGGAGUUGUUUGAUUGUUGGAUAAUUUUCAUCUGACCUUUUCGAGGGUGAAGUUAGGUUAUGCAGCCCGAGUGUACAAGUCAUUAACGGUAUAGUACUAGCGUUGUAUGUUCAUUGCUGUGUGCAUUACCCACUUUACCCUUAGUGGGUUGAUGCUUACACUGCUUCAGCUUUGCGCUUCUAAGUAGCCGUUACCAUUGAUUUGUAAUUGCUGCAAAUCGUCAUGCAAGUCAUUGAGUUUCUGCAAAGAGAUCUAGGGGUUACAUUGAAUAAUUGGAGCAUCAUUACGCGCACAUGAAUGCAUUGAGAAGAACAUUAACUCAAUCCUUUAUAGUGGAAGUGUAACUGCUGGCUUUUUCUCUUCUAAAUUUUUCACAAAAUGAAUUCAGCAGAUGUAAGGAGUUGGAUCUUUAGAGUGAGCAAUUAUGGCUUCUUUAUUACAAUAGUAAUGGAUGGAAGAUGAGGGACCUGUUGGAAACGUCUGAAUAGAAACUGAAUGUUUUUUGCUUUGUUGAAGCAUUUGUCAAGCAGUUUUUUUUAGCAACCCGAAUAAUGAAGGACAUUAACACAGAGUACGGUUGCAUGAGUUGCUUAAACUCUAUAUUACCAAGGUGGUCCUUGAAGAGGCAAGGUUUCUUGCACUAUGUUUUUCAGGUAGAUACUAUCUCUGUAUAUAUCGAAUUCCUGAAUGAAACAGUGACAAUAUUGUGCAGUUUAAAAGUGGUUAUUAUAUUUGUAACUGUAUUCUUGAAUUUUCAUGUUUGCCAGCAACUGAGGUACAACUGUGAGGCAAGGGAUUUGUCCAGCAGCAGCUUUGUGAUCAAGGUACUUCCUAAAACAAUUGUUCCAAUUAAUUAAUGCAUUAUUGGUGUUCAUGCGUUGCUGUACUAGAAUUACAAUUGUGUUCUGCAACUGUUUUAUGCAAUUUAGACUUGCUAAUUAGUCUUAUAUUGUCCUUUUCAACUUAUCUGCAAGCCUCUGUGUCAGUUAAAUUGCAGUAGUUAUGGUAGGGGAAACAUAAAUAGGCACUAAGUAACAAAAGCACACCAAACAUUCCUAAAUAUCUAAGCAUGUGAUAGUUUUAUGGCUAGGGGCUCCUGUUUGUUGAUUACUUGAGGAGAAAUAAGUUACAAUUUGAAAUAGUUCAAUCUUAGAGUAAAGGAUUUACAAAUAGUUGUAUGAUUUUCUUUCUAAUCAUUACAAUUGAAAGGACAAAAGUGAUUCAAUUUUUUUUUUUUUAUAAAUGUUUUCACAGUAAAUUUUGUAAAAAUUCUUACUGACUUAUGAUCAUGUGAUUAAAUGACCAUUUGGUUACUUUUACAUUUCUCCACUUAAACAAAUUAGUGUUUUUUUAUUCCAUUUGUGCAUUUAAAAAUCACUAUACUUUUUCAUUUUCUUUUGAUAUUGAUAGCAUUUUUUACUUUCUUAAUCUCGUGAUACAUAACAAAUUAUAACAUAGGUACUCACUCCUGCGCAUUGCACAGUCUUUUCCCCUAGUUGACUCAUAUAUUUACCAGUUAAUUAGUGAUUUUGGGAAUGUAGGCGUAAUCUCUAGUUCCCAUCCUGGGUUUUGGAAACAAUGGCUCCAAGACAAGUCUCGGUUUUCUUCAACAGGAGAAUCCAAGGGAAGACCCAAUUAUAACGAAGAAAUGCACUUACACUCCUAGUUUGAAUCCUGAAUCGAUAACCAAGAAGGCAAUUCGCGAUCUAGUUAUCUCUGACAAGUUGAUUAUUGUCGGUUCUUAUUACCCUGCAAUCCAAUUAUACUAAAGGAAUGCACUAACACUCGUGGUUUGAACCCUCUAUCUGUAAUCAAGAAUGCAAUUACUCCGCAAGAACUUUUACGGCUCUAUACUUUCGAAGCGAAAGGGACACUAAGAGCUAGUUUUAAGCUUCUUUUGUAUUAUUUUUCUAUUUGUCAGUAAUCUUCAUCUCUUUUAUAAUAAGAUUUUGGUUAAUCAUAGGUAAUACCUUCUAAGGUUUAGUGUAUUUCAAUUAAACCGUUUGGUUAUUUAAACUCAUAAAAGGAAUUGUGACCCUGUUUUAGGUUAUUCUUCACCUAAUUACCCUUGGUAUUAGUUUUUAGGCAAUUGACCUCUUCAUUGAUAAUAAGGUAAUUGUGAUAUUAAAACAGCUAAAAUACAAAGGUGUACCCGCAUCAUUAUAAUUUCUUUUUUUCUUUUAAAUACCUUAGUCCACGGUAAACCAUAUGCUAUAUUGAAAAGAAAAAUACGAAAGUUAACACAUGUCAAACUUUUCUUUUAAUUUAUAGUGUUUAAAGUGAAAAGCGCCGUUGCAGGUAAUAGUAAUUCAAAGGUUUUGAGUGACAAAAAAAAAAUAAAACAUAAGAGCCUAAAGCAUGCCUUUCAUUCUUAAUAUGAAAAUUUCCAAUUUCAGUGUAGUAAAAGUUCUGUUCAGUGGCUUGGAUUAGUUAUUUGGAUACUUUUAAUACACAACACAAAAUAAUUCUCCUUAAUGAGUUUCCAUCUAUUUUACAUUUUAAUGGAAAUCAGUGUAUUGAGUUCUAUAGGUCCUGCCAUCCUUGUACAAAACAUAUUUUCUUGGAAAACAUGAGAAUAAUGGAUGAAGACAUUUUAACCUAGACAGUAUACAUGCCAUAUUCAUUCCCUAAAUUUAGUUGUGUAUGUGUAAAAUAAGCACUCGUUAAAAUAUAUUUCAAGUGUUAGACUUUUAGAAAUGUAAGACUAAUUAGGAAAAAUAUAUAAAUCUGAGGACAAAUAAUAAUCAUUCAUAUGUACAUGGUAGUAAUAAUUGUUAGUAUAUAUAUAUAUAUAUAUAUGAUAGGUUAUGUGGAAUUUAAGUGUGUUAAUAAAAAACGUUAAAAAAUAAUAUACCAGCCUUUAAUUUUUUUCCAUGUAAGUGAAAACGGCAAGUCAAAUGUACAUUGCCAUGUAUUAUAAGAAGGUAAGUGACACGUUAUUAUCUUCCAUAGAAGGAAUAAAAUCUGUUGUAGAUGAAAUUGACAUACAGUCCACUAAAUCUUGUUACUUAAUGUCAUUGAACAAGACAAUCCGCUUUUCCAUUUUGGCUAAGCCUCAUCAAUUCGGCAUUAAAUAUGAAUCAACAAUAAAUCAAGAAAUGACCCCUAUAUAAAGGACCACCACCAACCUCACAUCACUGCAUAAUAGUUGAUAGUUGACUCUUGAUAGGUAAAGCAAGAAAAAUGGCUGUUAAAAUGAGUUGGAAAGCAACCAUUUUGAUCUUUUUCAUGAUGUUAAAUUUCUGGGGAUUUCUCAUGAGUUGCAAUGCAAGAGUUAUUGUUGAGAAUUAUCCCUCAGUUGACAGCAAAACUCUGUUUCAUAAGCUGGGCUUUGAUGUCGCUGAAUACCAGAAGAAGAAUGCCCGAUUGUUGAGAGAAGCACCGGGCGGACCUGAUCCUCAUCACCAUGCCACCCCACCACAGCCACCAACCAUAUCAUAGAUGUCUUUGAUGUAUGUAUAAAGUAUUCAAGGCUGCAGGCAUAUGUUUGAUCUUUAGAUCCCUUGUAAUAGUAAUACUUAGUGGAAUUGAAAUUCCCAAUUCAAUAAAAAAAAAGAGAAAAAAAUCUAUGAGAUGACAGAAAUUUUGAAGUUACUAUAGAUUUGAUGGUGCGCAAUAUAGUUAAACAUGAUUAUGAGUUUCUCAAAUCAAGACAAUUAGGCAUAAAAACUACUCUCUCUCUCUCUUUUUUUUUUUUUUUUGGUUCAAGAGGAAACUUCAUAUCUUACAAAGGAGGGAAGGGAAGUGGCACUUUAAUUUUGCAAAACGAAGAUCUUUAUUACCUACAGGGCAUCUGGUGUCUCCAAUUGGAUGGUUUGGAAUUCCUGGUUUCCUCAAUUCUGUGUCCAAGUUAUGCGAAAUAUAAAGGGGAUUAUGGAGAAAACAAAAUUUUUAUGCUAUAAUGGAAAAGAAAAUUUAAGGAAGCAAAAUGAGCACCCAAUUUUACCCAGUACUAACUGAGCUAUUGAACAAUAAAAGUAGAGACCAAAUUAAGAGAUUUAUAUUGGUUAAUGGCCAAAAGCUCAAGCAAAAUGUCAUGUGAAGCAACAAUAACAAACUCUAUACAUGAGCCAUGGUUCUUCAAUGAAAGUCACAGGCCUAUGUAUCUUUUGAGACAUAUAGUCCUUUGUUUCCAAUAUUUUAUCAUCAAGUUAUGUGCGUGCAAAUAUGAUCUAUGCAAACGGGAUAAGAUGUCCCAUGUAUGAUUUGAUCUAGAACUCCAUACUAGUGUCAAUUGUUGCAUGUUUGCCGUUGAAUUUUCUUAAAGAUCUGCAUAAAUGGCCUCUCACAAACUAUCAGAUUAAGCCUCUGAAAUUCUAUUAAAGUAAUUUAAUUAAGGAUAAAUUACUUUAUAACCUCCUGUGAUUUUAUAUAAUGCCAGAUGGCCCCCAUAUAGUUUCGAAAUAGCCAAAUAAUCACUCUAUGGUUUUAUGUAAAAUAGAAAAUAGAUUGAAUGCACAAUCACUUACACUGUUUAUACCAAACACACUCUAAAAGCAUGUGUGGUAAAAUCUUAAUCUGCAUGUAACCUUUUUAUGGUCCAUAUAAAUAUCCACUUUACCUUCUUAUGAAAUUUGCAUUUAUACAUAUAAUCCCCUUAUACUUUUAUAAAAAAUAGUUAGGCCGUCGAUUGAUUUGGUAUGUAAAUAAGGAUACUAUUGGUAUUUCAAUUAACAACGAUACAUAGGAUAUUUUCUAUCAAGUUUUCACUUUAAUUAUAUAAAAUCAUAGGUGAUUGAAAUGGAUAUUUUGAAAUAUUAGAGGGGUCAUGUGGCAAUAAAUGAAACCAUAGAGAGGGUUAUAUGUUAUUUACCCUUUAAUUGAUGACCAUGACUACGUAGAAGUUGGAUGCUUCAAAAUAUAGGACAUGAUAAUAAUAGUUAAUAAGUUUCUGUUUGAUCAAAUUUUCCCCCUUGGUCACUCAUGUUCUUGGUUUUCUUUAAUUUGAUGAAAAUAAAGGUGAAGCAAUAUUUUUGUGAGUUAGAAUGCCACCUUGCAAGUCCUAUAGACAGCAUUUUUUUUUAAUUUAAAAAGAGAUUCUAAAUCUCACAAUGAUGAUUAUAAAAAAUAAAAAAUUGAAGAGUUGAAAUAAAGUCCUCACGAUCGCUUUGAAUUGACUCAUAUAUCUACCAAUUAAUUAGUGAUUUUGGGAAUGUAGGUGUAAUCUUCAGUUCCUGUCCUGGAUUUUGGAAACAAUGGCUCCAAGACAAGUCUCGGUUUUCUUCAACAGGAGAAUCCAAGGGAAGACCCAAUUAUACCAAAGAAACGCACUUACACUCCUAGUUUGAAUCCUCCGUCGAUAAUCAAGAAGGCAAUUCGCGAUCUAGUUAUCUUUGGCAAGUUGAUUAUUGUCAGUUCUUGUUACUCUGCAAUCAAAUUAUAUUAGGGGAAUGUACUAACACUUAUGGUUUGAAACCUCUGUCUAUAAUCAAGAAGCAAUUCAUGGCGAACUUAUAUUUGACAAGUUGAUCAAGAAUCGUUACUCUUUUGACACAAAAAAGGGUUUAGAAAAUCCUUUUCUUGUGUCGAAGACUAGGAAGACGAAUAAUCUCUUCUAGAAGAGAUUGUUUGUUUCCUAUAUAUCCCUUCUAUUACCCGAUUACUUCUGUCAGGUAUCUAAUUUAAUCGAAUUCUAUUUAGAUGAUCCAUUUUAUAACAUUGAAAUCGGGCAAUAGUAAUAUUGUCCCAUCGCCCCAAUUUAACUAAAAAAAAAUAAAGAAAUAGGGUGAAAGUCAAAUAAGAUUUUUCAAAAUCUAUAUACUAUGACUAGCAAUGCGACGAAAGAAAUUCCCAGCAUCUCGUAGAAAAAGUAUAAACAAGCACAAGUCUCUGCAAAGCUUUUACCGCUCUAUACUUUGGAAGCGAAAGGGACACUAAGAGCUUGUUUUAAGCUUCUUUUGCGUUAUUUUUCUAAUUGUAAGUAAUCUUCAUCUCUUUUAUAUAUCAACAAACAUAUAUAAAUGUGGAGGAAUUGGUGUACAUGGUCAAUAUACCAUGUAACAUGCUAAUUUUAAGAUAUCUAGGGUCGACCUUUAUCUAAGCUUUUGGUUAAUCAUAGGUAAUACCUUCUAAGGUUUAGUGUAUUUCAUUUAAACCGUUUGGUUAUUUAAACUCAUAAAAGGAAUUGUGACCCUGUUUUAGGUUAUUCUUCACCUUACCCUUAGUAUUAGUUUUUAGGUAAUUGACCUCUUCAUUGAUAAUAAGGUAAUUGUGAUAUUAAAACAACUAAAAUACAAAGGUGUACCCACAUCAUUAUAAUUUCUUUUUUUUUUUUAAAUACCUUAGUCACGUUAAACCAUAUGCUAUAUCGAAAAGAAAAAGAAAAAGGUAUGAAAGUUAACACAUAUCAAACUUUUCUUUUAAUUUAUAGGGUUUAAAGUUAAAAGCACCGUUGCCAUAAUAUAUAGUAAUUCAAAGGUUUUGAGUGAAAAAAAAAAAAAAAAGCCUAAAGCAUGUCUUUCAUUCUUAAUAUGAAAGUUUCCAAUUUCAGUGUAGUAAAAGUUCUGUUCAGUGGCUUGGAUUAGUUAUUUGGAUACUUUUAAUACACAACACAAAAUAAUUCUCCUUAAUGAGUUUCCAUCUAUUUUGCAUUUUAAUGGAAAUCAGUGUAUUGAGUUCUAUAGGUCCUGCCAUCCUUGUACAAAACAUAUUUUCUUGGAAAACAUGAGAAUAAUGGAUGAAGACAUUUUAACCUAGACAGUAUACAUGCCAUAUUCAUUCCCCAAAUUUAGUUGUGUAUGUGUAAAAUUAAGGGUAUGUAUAAUGGGUGUUCAAUGGGCACUCGUUAAAAUAUAUUUCAACCGUUAGACUUUUAGAAAUGUAAGAUUAAUUAGGAAAAAUAUAUAAAUCUAAGGAAAAAUAAUAAUCAUCAGUAUGUACAUGGUAGUAAUAAUUGUUAGUAUAUAUAUAUAUAUAUAUAUAUAUAUGAUAGAUUAGGUAGAAUUUAGAUGCGUUAAUAAGAAAACGCUAAAAAAUAAUAUACCAGCCUUCAAUUUUUAUUUUUCCAUGUAAGUGAAAAUGGCAAGUUAAAUGUACAUUGCCAUGUAUUAUAAGAAGGUAAGUGGCACGGUAUUAUCUUCCAUAGAAGGAAUAAAAUCUGUUGUAGAUGAAAUUGACAUACAAUCCACUAAAUCUUGUUACUCAAUGUCACUGAACAUGGACAAUCCGCUUUUCCCUUUUGGCUGAGUCUCAUCAAUUCGGCAUUAAAAAUGAAUCAAAAAUAAAUCAAGAAAUGACCCCUAUAUAAAGGACCACCACCAGCCUCACAUCACUGCACAAUAGUUGAUAGUUGACUCUUGAUAGGUAAAGCAAGAAAAAUGGCUGUUAAAAUGAGUAGCAAAGCAACCAUUCUGAUCUUUUUCAUGAUGUUAAAUUUCUGGGGAUUUCUCAUGAGUUGCAAUGCCAGAAUUAUUGUUGAGAAUUAUCCCUCAGUUGACAGCAAAACUCUGUUUCAUAAGCUGGGCUUUGAUGUCGCUGAAUACCAGAAGAAGAAUGCCCGAUUGUUGAGAGAAACACCGAGCGGACCUAAUCCUCUUCACCAUGCCACCCCACCACAGCCACCAGCCAUAUGAUAGAUGUCUUUGAUGUAUGUAUAAAGUAUUCAGGGUUGCAGGCAUAUGUUUGAUCUUUUGAUCCCCUGUAAUAGUAAUACUUAAUGGAACUGAAAUUCCCUUGUAAUACGUCUUGGUUUUGGAGUAUUUAUGUUUGAGUUUGAUGCGAUUAUGUAUGGUUGCUAUAUAUAUAUAUAUAUUGUAAUUUUUGUGGACAUCUAGAAAUCAAAUUAUAUUUAUACAUUGAGUUGAUACGCACGAAAAAACUUAUGAUAAUACACUAAAUUAUGUAAGAAAUAUAUUCCAAACCUAUAAUCGCAUAAAAAUCUCAACUGUACUUCCCUGUACGUGUCUCCAUGCAAAAGGAAUUCUUGAACAUGGAGGAAAGCAACAUCACUCGACGGGUUUAUCAAACUUAGAAGAUUAGAUAAGCAUUUCCAUCAUUUGACAAAUUAUCUCGAAUUGAAAUUGUUGACAUUCGUGAAAUUGUUAGUAUGUUCCAUUUAAACCGUUUGGUUAUUUAAAACUCAUAAAAGAUAUUGUGACCGUAUUAUUCCUCACCUUACCCUUAGUAUUAGUUUUUAGGUAAUUGACCUCUUCAUUGAUAAUAAGGUAAUUGUGAUACUAAAACAACUAAAAUACAAAGGUGUACCCACACCAUUAUCAUUUUUUUUUCUCUUUUAAAUACAUUAGCCUGCGUUAAAGCAUAUAAUACAUUGAAAAGAAAAAGAAAAUGGUAUGAGAGUUAACACAUGUCAAACUUUUUCUUUUAAUUUAUAGGGUUUAAAGUUAAGGGUGCAGUCGUCAUAAUAGCAAUUCAAAGGUUUAGAGUUAUAUAUAUAUAUAUAUUUAUUUAUUUAUUUAUGUUAUAUAUAUAUAUAUAUAUAUAUAUAUAUAUAUAUAUAUAAGAGCCUAAAUCAUGCCUUUCAUUCUUAAGGAGUAAAAGUUUUGUACAGUAGCUUGGAUUAGUUAUUUGGACAUUUUUAAUACACAACACCAAAUAAUUCUCCUUAAUGAGUUUCCAUUUAUUUUACAUGUUAAUGGAAAACAGUGUAUAUGUUGAGCUUUUAUAGGUCCUGGCAUCCUCAUACAAUACAUAUUUUCUUGGAAAACAUGAAAAUAAUGGAUGAAGAUAUUUUAACCUAGACAGUAUACGUGCCAUAUUCAUCCCCUAAAUUUUAGUUGUGUACAUGUAAGAUAAAGGGUUUGCUUAAUGGGUGUUCAACCGGUAUUCCUUAAGAUAUAUUUUAGGUGUUAGAUUUUUAGAAACAUAAGAGUAAUUAGGAAAAAUGUAUAAAUGUAAGGAAAAAUAAUAAUUGUUAGUAUAUACAUGAUGGUAAUAAUUGUUACUACGCAUAUACAUUAUAGGUUAAGUGAAAUUUAGGUGAAAUUUAGGGAUGUUAAUAAGUGCCCAAUAAACACCCAUUGCGAAAACGUUAAAAAAUAAUAUACCAACCUUUAUUUAUUUUUUCCAUGUAAGUGAAAACGGCAAGUUAAAUGUACAUUGCCAUGCAUUAUAAGAAAGUAACGGCACGUUAUUAUCUUCCAUAGAAGGAAUAAAAUCUGUUGCAGAUGAAAUUGACAUACAAUCCACUAAGGGUACGUUUGGUUCUACAGAAUUAGAAUUGAAUUAGAAUUGGAAUUCUAUAGAAUUUGAAUUCUAUGAAUUAGAAAUCCAAAUCCUUGCAAUUCUUUCGUUUGGAAAAUACAUAGAAUUGAUACGGAAUUUAUUUGGAAUUCCAAAUUCUUUGUUUGGAUGAGAGAAGAAUUCAUUAGGAAUUAGAAUUGUUUCCAACUAAUAUUUCCUUACAUAAAAAAUUUCUUUUUUUUACUAUAUAAUAAUUUUUUAACAUUUAGCUAAUUGUUACUAAAGCUUUAAGGAAAAAACCAAUUAGUACCUUUAAUAAUUUAUUUUUUCUUGCAUUUAACUAAUUGUUAAUAAAGCUUUAAAAGAAAAAAAAUUAGUUCCUUUUUUGCAAAAAUAAAAAAAUUCUUUUUUUUAAAUUAAAUUAUAUUAAAUAAAAAAUAAUUGUAUAUUCUAACUUAAAAAGUAGUUAAUAUUUAUCGAGUUAAAACCUUGAUACAAAUUUAAAGUUAAGAACUUUAAAUUUUAGAAAAUCAAAAGCCUACUCUAUGAUAUGAAUUGGGAGGAAAGUCAUAACUUGUACCUAUUAUAAAUAUUUGAGUUUUGUAUCUUACAAGAAAUUUCAAUAGAUGAAUACACAAACAACGUGUUUUUAGCCAAAAAAAAAAGAGAAAGAAAAGCACAGUUAUACAUUGCUACUAUUUUUCAAUAAAUGGCCAUUCUAAUAUUAAAUUAAGUUCGAAUAAAUUCCUAUCAAAUUUCAACUUCCAUGAUGGCCUUGUCUAAUUUGAUAGUCAAUAAACAUUGCUCGUGCUAAAGCAUUCCUAAAUUGUGUCCACUCGCUAGUUGGUUGUACUGUUCGAAUUCGAUUCUCGUUAACAGCAUUUACACCACCAUCAUUAUUUGGACCAUCAUCUUCCAUUCCAUUUUCCUCAUCUUCAUCUUCCAUUUCAUCUUCAUCAUCAACCUCAUGUUGUACUCUUCGCAUCUCAGCAUCAACUUCAUCCAAGUAAGGGUCAUUUGGUUGUUCUACUCGAAUAAGAUUAUGAAGGAUGGCACAUGCAUUAAUUAUCAUGACAUGAGUCUUAACAUCAAAAAAAGAUGCAUCUCUCAAAAUGGCCCACCGCUUCUUGAACAAACCAAAUGUCCUUUCAAUCACAUUUCGAGCAAUUGAAUGUCGAAGGUUGAAUAACUCUUUAAAAUUUUGAGGCUUCCUCCCACUAGCAGACCACUCGCUAAGAUGAUAUCUAACUCCCCUAUAUGGAGCUAAGAAACCGGAGCUAUUUGCAUAACCCGCAUCAACAAGAAAGUACUUGCCUGUAAUGUUAGACAACAAAUUAUUACUCAUUUAUAGUGUUAAAUUCUACAUAGUCAAUUGAAGCUAAAAUGAUAGCUAAAAAGAUUAAUUAUCUUCUCCUUGAAACUCCUCUAUAUAUGUGUGUGUGUGUGAGAUAAAGAUAGCUAUUUACAAUUUCCUAACUAGCAAUGAAUUGCAGGGAAAGCCCAACUGUUACACCACAUAAGCUUUAAAAUAUGCGUAACAAUUGAUUAUAUACAGAAACAUACACCAAAGAACUGCAGGACAAUUGUUCUAGUUAGUGUCAAAAUUGAACCGUUAUUACCAAGCUCAAUAGUUGAAACAUGAAAGCCAGAGAUAGAGCUAUAAUUUUCACAUCAAAAACCUAUUCACAACAUUCUAAGUGCUUGAAAAUAAAUACCUUUAUAAAACCACAGAUACAAGGAAGACUGAAGUGACGAUCUUCAGCCUUUAAGCAUGCCCAACUUCAUGUCAGCCCACAACUUUGCUAUCAAGAAGAAUGCACCGACUUCACUUAAAUGCAGGGCAAGGUUAAACAAGCCUUCCUGUAACAUAUUAGGAACAAUCAAACACAUUUAAAUAUACGCUAAGAGAGAGUGUGUGAGAGAAUUUAUGACAGCAUUAAAUAGUCCAAAACAAACAUUCAUCACAUUCCAUGUCCAUUGACGAGAAUUUAGCAGCCUUGAGCUGAUACAUAAAAGAUUUUUCAGGCCCUGACAGCAAGUUUUUCAACAGCCACUGCAGUAUAGAACUAAAAAUUCGCUCUGUCAAAGUAAAUUUGUGAUUCCUUCUAUGAUUCUAGAUACUAAGUUAAGAAGAGUAUAACUGGUUUUAAGAAGAUUUUUUAAUCUGACACUUGGUCAUAACAGCCAACAGCCUUGGAGUGUGAACUGGAGACGUUAUAUACUUGAUCAUAACAGCCAACAAAUAGAUUUUAUAAAAAGGGUGUAAUCUGCAUUCUCUGUGUUUAUGAUCUCAGUGUCUUGAAGGAGGAUACUUUAGCUUCGGAUUCAGCAUUUCAUCCAUUAUCAGUCUUAAACAUGUGGAUAUGAUUCACGAAGUCAGGUUCUUAGCCAAGGCCACUUCCUGAUGUUUAGAGGUCGAAUCAUUAUAAUGCAGUGAAAUUUUAAACUUGUAGCAGUAAUUUUUUGUAGACAAAACGUUCUUGAAUGAGAUAAUUUUUCUGCCUGUAAUGUGAAUGUAGAUCCUAGAAAUUAUCUCUUGAAUAUUCAAUCUACAAAGAACCAUGAACAAUGUAUUACAAAGCCACAAACAAAAGGGGGAAAAAAAACUGGAUACUAGUAGUGUUUUUUUUAAUGUCAAAUUCAAGAAAUGUUAUGUAAAUACAGCAUCAGGAGCAAGCUUAAAAGUUCAAAUACAGAGGCAAAUAACUACUUUAAUCAUUCAUUACUAAUUACAUCAGAAGUGAAUCAACGAAGUGAAAUACAACUCAAUAAAAGAUGCAUUGUCCAAAUAGAAUGAAAUUAUAUAAUGCAGUUCACGUGAUCAGAUUUAGGAAUCACACAAAUGCAAGGAAAGGUAUAAUUAUUUCUUCAAAAUACCAACCAAGAAAAAGAAAAAAAAAUAAAAAAAAAAUUGCAGCCCCCUGUAUGCAGAAUGUCUGUAAAUAAUGCAAUCCAGGAUCAGAAUCAUCAGAAUCCCAAAACACUCACUUUUUGCAAUUGAAAGCAAGAGAAGCCUUCGCAAGCUUCUGUUUCUACCGUGAGAGUAAGCGGUAAGCCACUCACUCAAUCCUCAUCAACUCAUCCUUCAAAAAGCCUCUACUAUUCCAUUUGUUAUUAUUAUUAUUUAAUUAAUUUCACAAAUAUUAGGGGAGCAAAUGCGAUUCAUAAGUAGCAGCAGUAAAUUUAUUUUUUCUUUAAAUAAAAAAACAAAUAUCGAUCAUAAUCCAAAUCCCACAACACAAUUCAAAUCGUCGGAUGUCCAGAACCAUCAAGUUACAGAAAACUUCAUUUGACGAAUAUAAUGCAGGAAGAACGUUGAAUGUAAAGGAAAAUGCGCUUACCGUUGAGUUGAGCAGUAAAAGAUAUUUGAGAAUCCUCCCCUAGACGGCUUCAAUAUAUACAAAAUAUUUGAGAAUCCUGCACUUUGUUCGCGAUUGCUGAGGUGAUGGGUAGAUGCGUGGCAGAGCGAUGCCGGAGACGGUGGUGGAAGAGGGAAAAUGUUAGGGUGGAGGUGAAGGGGAUGACGCAGAGCAAUUAGAUUAGAGGUACUUGCGGUUGAGGAAAAGUGUCUAAUUAGAUAGCGAGAGAGGGCCGCUUACCUAGUUGACCCGGUUUUAAUUUUUUACCCGCUAGGAUCCGCGUACUAACCCGAAUAGGAGGUGAAAUUAUGGAAUUAGAAUUGUAAUUCUUAGGUCUUACCAAAGAAUUGAAUUUGUGGAAUUGAUGGCUCAUAGAAUUCAAAUUGAAUUCUAAUUCUCUCACAUAGAUAGCGUCCAAACCGAAGAUUUGGAAUUGAUGCUCCAAUUCUAAUUCUAAGCCUCCAAUUCUAUGGGAACCAAACACACCCUAAAUCUUGUUACUCAAUGUCACUGAACAUGGACAAUUCGCUUUUCCAUUUGGCUAAGACUCAUGAAUUCGGCAUUAAAUAUGAAUCAACAAUAAAUCAAGAAAUGACCCCUAUAUAAAGGACCACCACCAACCUCACAUCACUGCAUAAUAGUUGAUAGUUGACUCUUGAUAGGUAAAGCAAGAAACACCGGGCAGACCUAAUGGUCCUAAUCCUAUUCACCAUGAAACCCCACCAAAGCCACCAACCAUAUGAUAGGUGUCUUUGAUGUAUGUAUAAAGUAUUCAGGGUUGCAGGCAUAUGUUUGAUCUUUUGAUCCCUUGCAAUAGUAAUACCUAAUGGAACUGAAAUUCCCUUGUAAUAGUAAUACGUCUUGGUUUUGGAGUAUAUAUGUUUGAGUUUGAUGCGAUUGUGUAUGGUUGCUAUAUAUAUAUAUAUAUAUAUAUAUUGUAAUUUUUGUGGACAUCUAGAAAUCAAAUUAUAUUUAUACAUUGAGUUGAUACGCACGAAAAAACUUAUGCGUAUAACAAAAUUAUAUGAUAAUACACUAAAUUAUGUAAGAAAUAUAUAUACCAAACCUAUAAUCGCAUAAAAAUCUCAACUGUACUUCCCUGUACGUGUCUCCAUGCAAAAGGAAUUCUUGAACAUGGAGGAAAGCAACAUCACUCGACGGGUUUAUCAAACUUAGAAGAUUAGAUAAGCAUUUCCAUCAUUUGACAAAUUGUCUCGAAUUGAAAUUGUUGACAUUCAUGAACCCUGUAAAACCAUAUAUAUGCGUCCUGAAUUUGGAUAAGGCAGGCUUAGUAAGUCAUAGAUUAGACACAAGAGUGACGGAUUAUCCCUAAAUGAUACUAUACAAAUAUACAAUACAAGUUUCAAUCCAAACCCACUUUUUCUGCAUAUAUAUAUAUAUAUAUAUAUAUAUAUAUAUAUAUAUAUAUAUAUAUAUAUAUAUAUAUAAUCUUUAUUUGUGUCUUUUGUUGUAAAGGUCUUUAGUGCAAUUAUAGAGAGGCAGGCACAGUUGUGGACAUUGCGACUAGGGCAAAACUUUCAUUACUAAGCACAAAAUUGUGUAUCCUAAUUGGUAGUUGAGAAUUAUGAUUCGUGAGAGAUGUGACACAAUUAGUGACGUCUCAUUCUACUACAAUAUUGCCUGCCUUUACACAAAAGCCAUAAAAAAAGAUAGAUUAAAUCUUAUAUACACGGUAGGCUAAUACGCUAUCAUAGUUAGAUGAACGACACAUGAGCAAAUUUUGAAUUUUAAAUUUAAAUUUUACACAUGUGUCAUAUAUCUAACGGUGAUAGUAUAUACACUGACAAUAUAUAUAAGAUUAGUAGAGUUUUGGUCCAAAUAAAAAAAAGUAAAAUAGAAAAAAUAAUAAUUGUAUCGUAGUGAAGCAUAUACAGUUGACUAAGCAACUUAAUUUGGCCAUUAAGCUAGGAAGGUGCUUCUAUAAGGUGGAUUACGCACUUACAAAGUUCUUUUCCAUACUUGACUGAGCAUGAUUAUACAUAAUUAUAUGAGACUCAGCUAGAAUUUAUGAUUGUUAAUUAGGUGUAGCUGCCCUUUGGCCCUCUUUUGUCUUUAACAUUCAAAAAUUUACUUAUUACCUUUCUCCUUCUAUUAAUUGCAUUGUCAAACUCGUUUAUUAUUAUUAUUUUUUUUUUGCAAUUUAAUGAUAGUUUACCAACGCAUUUUUCAUGAACGCGCAUAUACUACUCCUCAUUAUCGCCCUAAGACAUGGUUAAUUAGCAAUAUUAAUUACCAAAAACGUGGCAUAUAUAUAUAUAUAUAUAUAUAUAUAUAUAUAACAGUUAUCAGUCACAUCUUCUGACUUCAAAAUGUGAACAUAACUUUUAUUCUGUGAAUUAGUCAAAUGUGUCCUUAUCUUUCCUCGCAGGCUCCAAGUAUACAUUUCCUGAUCAGCUAUGAUGUGCUUUCGGCCGAAACUGCAAUUGUUAUUGUGAUGCACACUUGGAUUUUGCUUAUGCUCCUACUGCUAUCAGCAAUAGAUAUAAAGUGAUUACCCUAACUGGAAAGACUUUAGGGUCCAUAUAUUUUGUCUCUUUUCUUGAAGAGGAAAAUUGAUUCCAAAUUUUAAAUCUUCAACAACAGACACAAAGCAGUGACCAUAUAUAGGAAUCAUGGUUCUUUUAUUUUAAGCACAGUCUAAUGUAUUAAAAUCCCAACUUCUUUUUUUUCUUGGCCUUACAUUGGCCCCAAUUUGAAGUGAUUGUACUAGUAUAUUCAUUUCAUUAUUUCGUUGCUUUUCCAAGUUCAACAUCAUAUGGGAGCCAAUUAGAAUCAUGAGUUUGGAUAAUCUAACUAAGUAGUCCAACUUUUCCAACUUUGUACGUGUCAAUAAAUUCAUGGAAAACUAAAUUUCUUGGUUGAUUGAUCAAGUUUGUGAUGAUCACAACACUAGCUUGAUCAAUGCUCUCUAAAGACUAAAGGUCAGCCAUUCAUAUAUUUGAGAGAUGUUUUUAUUAUUAUUAUUUUUUUGACAAUUGGCUUUAGAGACAAUUAUAUAUGCACCGCCCAGAGGACCAUGGCGGGUACAAACAAAAUCCACAAUAAUCAUUUUCCUAACUUUCCGACCAACACCUUGCGAUCACCGGCAAUGUAUUAAUCUGAACAUUGGGUAGAGGCAAAGGGGAACGACCCCAUUUGUUCGAAUUGCCUUUUGACAAAAUUGAUAUAAUAAUCUUUUCAUCAAAUUUGGAUUUCUGAAUUAAUUGAUGACACGAAUUUGGUUAAUUAGUCUGCCAAGAAAAAGAUAGCAUAUGGCCUUCAAAUUGAAGUUCAGAUGUUGUAAGAAUGCUCUCCUAAAGUAUUCGAUAAACAAGCAUACAUUGACCAUUUCCAAAACAUGGCAAAUUAUAAUGCAAAAAAUCUCCCAAGACUCCCUAACUUAUCUGUAUCCAACCAAAAAAAAAAAACCAUCGACUAUUAGCUAGACUACAAUUGCAAAAAACAAACUUACACGACUCUCUAACUUUGUUAAGGCACCAAAAGAAAAAUUGAAAAGAUCAACUGUCUCUUCAUUUGCCGCCACGCCAUAUUCACCAAGAAAACUACUAUUGCUUACACGUUUUACAAUCUAUUUAAAACUUUGGCGCCGCCGCAGCAUGAUAAAUUGUUGUCUUAAUUAUAUUGCUUCACAGGGAAAAGGGGAAAAAAUGGACAGUGUUAUCAUGAGCCUGUGAUGUGUUCUAGCGUAGGGUUCCAUUAUGUUCAUGCAUCACAACAAGAAAUACAGGCGUUCUAUUGGGAAUUUUCCCAUGAGAACAAAAGAAAGAUUAACUGAAAAGCCAAGAACUAUGACUUUUACGAUAACAACAAAGUUGAAAAAGUCUGGAGGGUCAACAGGUUAAGAACUAAAAAGCCCUUUUGAUUUUUGACAAGGUGAACAGCAUGGUCAACUACAAAUGAGGGCCGUCCCACCAAUGUAAGCUUUUCUUAUAGGAUUUCCAAGGAGGACACUAUCUAAUUUACGUGCUAUCUAGCUAAUUAUGCCGACAGGGCACGUGAGAUUGAGGCGGAUAAUUUCUAAUCAAGUGCCAGUUGGAUAAUGCUUCAUUUUUUGUGGAAAAGAUCUGAGUGUGAUGCACCGUGCGGUCUAAUCAGAGCCACUUGUCGAUUUGCGGUUUUCUUAUGUUGCGGUCUUGGAUUGAUUUUACGUUAGCAAAAUGUGGAAAAACACUAAGGAGAGUACGUGUGUGUGUGUGUUUGUUUGGCAGCACUAGUGUGAUUUAGAAAAUUAAAAUUAUACUAAAUAAGGUAUCAGUGAUAGAGAUGGGUAGCGAUGAUGGACGACGGAAGUUACCAAUAGUAGGUGACGAGUGGUGGAAGGAGGGGGGAGAGGGGUGUUUUGGAGAAAUACAAACAUUUUUUUUUUAAAACUGCUAUAUUGAAUUACAAUAAAGUUUUAGACAAUUUUACUUAAGUCUCUCUUCUCUCCCUAUGCUUCUUAAAUCGUACUCUUUUACUAACAAAAAUUUUAAAAAAAAGUUUUAAAUAGACAUCCAAAAAUACAUUAUAUAAGCGAAUCGAACAUUUUCGCUACCCAAAAUAACUAUUGUGAACACAGUUUACGAUAUUAUUAUUAUUUUUUGUUCAAUAGUACUAAAAGACAAUCCUGGUCUAACAAUAUUGGUUUUUUCAUGUUAGGAAAUUGGCUUAAUUUCUUUUAGGUGAAUUUCUUAUUUUGUGUGGAAGUAACUAGUUUCCUAAUUGGAUUUAGUUACUUGAAGUAGUAGUCAAGUAAAUUCCUAUUUAGCUAGAUACUAUUUUCUACUCUAUAUGAGUUUAGGAAAUAGUAUUGGUUUCCAAUUGUUAUUUGGUUUUUUGGCACUAAUGUUCUCUAUAAAUAGAUAGAUUGGCAUACUACAAAGACACACAAGAAAGGAGUGAGAGAGUUCUUAGUGGGUGAGAGGGUUAUACAAGAGUUGGGGCUUGGGAAUCAAGUUGUAAUCUUGUGGUGUUUUUCUCAUAGUAAGAACAAGUUUUUCUCUCUGUGAAUGUAGGUUUGGUGAUUAAGCCGAACCACGUUAAUUCUUGUGUGUUGUUCAUCGUUCAUGCUAGAUAUUGUUUUCUAUUAAAUUGUUGGUCUUUUUCUUUUCAAAUAAUUGGCCUGAUACCCCAACAUUUCACAUAGCGAGAAUUUGUGUGAAUCUGCUACCAUUUAUAAUAGUCGAGGUAACUAUAGGAAAAGAGUAAUGGCUUGCAGUAUGCAAGCUUAAUAUUAGAUAACACAAUCCUUGUUUUUGCAAGUUCUAGUUAAUAGUUCCGGUUUGCACUCCAACUGCAAGAAUUUUAGCAUUUUUAAAAUGCAUCCAGGAGGGAACUACAAGAAUCUUUUCUUGACAAUGUUCUGUUUCAGCCCAUGUACGAGGAAUUUUUCAUACAGAUUACAUAAAGGGCUUAUUUACUUUCGCAAAUCAUCCUCAUUUCUCGACCAAAGCUAGCAAAAAAGAAUGUCGCCACGCGAAAGGAUCAGUAGUUGGUUGCCUUUAGUGAGUUCAGUUAAAGCAUUGUGCCAUUUGACGUGGAAAAAGAAUCUACAAGGGCUUAAAGUAGUAAGGUUUUAUCUGGUUCCCAGGUUGAGAUUGGCCCUAACACGAUGAGCAGAAAAAGUUGGUAAAGGACUUUGGAUGAAAUGACUCAUCAGCUGCCCCUUGCAAAUUCCAAUCCACUACUAGUUGAAGUAGGAGGAAUGCAAUACUUGACUUGAAUUGGGCUAAUAAGUGCUCAUUCGGACUUUUUUUUGCUAACUAAUUAAGUUAAAUAAACAACAUUUAUUGUCUGUCAAAGUAUUAAACUCGACUCGACUUGAUUAGUAUUAACUUUGAAAUCGAUAUAUGUAAAAAAUUUAGACUAUUCAAAAGUGGACUUGAUUAGCAUAAACACAUAUGAAAAAUGUAGACUGUUAAAUCAGUUUGAUAAUAAAAACUCAUUUUAGUUCAACUUAAUGAAUAAACGGUUCACAUUUAAGCAUAAUUUUAAGGGAAAAUGGUUUGUUUCAUCUCUCACAUUUUACAAAAAUAUUUUUUUUCAUCCCUCACUUUUAAAAUAAAACAAAUUCAUCAUUGACAUUAAAAAACUGAAACUAUUACAUCCAUGAAGUCAACUUUCAAUCCGAAUCUAACUACCCAUCAAUCCUAUUACAAAUUUUGAGAAUAUAGUUAGUGGCAUAUCAUUUGGUUCACUCAACUUAAUAUUCAUGUGAAAUUUAAUGAAUCCAAAAAGGAAAAAUAAAAAAAAAAUUAUAACAUAAAAAAAGAUUAAUCUUUCCUACAUUGUUAUUGUAUAUACUGACGAGUCUAGAUACUUGUCACAUCAUUUCAAUUUAAAUUUAAACACCCACCUUUUAUGUAUGGUAUACAUCUAGACUCGUAAAUGUAUAUACUAACGGUAAGAAACCUUACCAUUCCAAGUCAAAAAAAUGGCCUGUUUAUGUUAUAAUUUUUAAUUUUUUCCUUUUUUUUGGUUCAAUAAAUGUCAUGUGAAUAUGAUCGAGUUGAUCGAGUGAUCUAUCAAUUUUAUCCUCGAAAUUUAUUAUUGGGUUACUAGAUGGUUUGAUUCAUAGUAAUAGUUGGAUUCAGGGAUGUAAUAGUUUUAAUUUUAAAAUGUUAGGGAUGAAUUUGCUUUGUUUUAAAAGUGAGGGAUGAAAAGAAUAUUUUUUUAAAAUGUGAGAGAUGAAACAGAUCAUUUUCCCUAAUUUUAAUUAAACUUGUGAAAAAUAAGUAAAUAAACUUAAACACUAAAUUGUUCAUUUGAUUAAAUUUGGACUUUGCACAAUGCUUGAUGCUCAUAAGAGGAUAUGUCCUUAAAUUUUUAUAAAGGGAUGGAACAAAUAUUAUGGUAAUCAGUAGUAACUCUAGCUAGUUUUAAGUUGAGCAUUCCCUAGGACCUUUGCUUAUCCGAAUUUGUAAGCGUCAAAUCAUAUAAAAGUGUUUGAAACUUUGAAUCAAUCAAGAACUUUAGUAGGAGUUCUUGAGAGACUAAAAUCUAUCUACCUGUAAAUUAAUAUUAAAAGAUAAGCUCUUCAAUUAACACAGUACGAAUGAUUACAAUUUUUUUCGAGCAAACGAACAAUCUGAUGCAGGAGUUUUGUCGGAUUGGUACGUGGGUUAAAUAAAUAAUCGUACCUCUUAACUACAUGUUCUCCCCCACUAUUCUCCGUUUCUCUCCUACUCUCCUGAUGAAUCUUUCCGAGUUCUUAUAUAUGUAGCCAGAGCUGUCAGAUUAAUCUUCCACCCAAUUAACCACUGCACAUAUCAUUUCUUCCAGUUAGCUCAAGCUAUCAGGGUUCCUUAGUCUUGUUCUCAAUAAUAUUUCGCCCUCCAUUUUUCCAUGGCUUGUUCUAUCAUUGCAAGGUUAACCGCCCUACCGUAUUUCUUCAUGAUCAUUAUUCUCUUUGCUUGCUUCUUCACUUGUGAUUUGGAAGCACGGGUUCUUGUGGCUGAUCAUCACGAGGCUAUUUCCACGAUGCAUGAAAAGUUGAAACCUGACAGCCAAGUUCUUCUGAUGAGAAUAGGCUUCAGCCCUUCACAGCUUGAAUAUUACAGAAGAAGGUCACUUAAUGAUAUUGAUCGAGUGGCUCCUGGUGGACCAGAUCCUCAUCACCAUGCGUGAUUAUCUACAAUAUCCUUUUCUAUAUCUUUUGUCAUUUUGUUUUUUGGCCCAAUUCUUGGGUUUUCAGUGGAGGGUUUGGCAGGAUUGAUAUGUUGUUAGAGAAGAAGAUCAGAAUAUUGGUCGUGCAUGUUUGCUUUUCUUGAUGAACCACCGUUCAUCAUCGUUUCGGCUGAAAUCGGGUAUAGCAAAUAUUUGCGCGCAACGCUCAUUUUAAUUCAUUGUUGUCAUUUCAAGAUUCUGUCCCUACAAUGUUUCUGAUUAGAUCUUUCUUCUUUUUGUGUGUGUGCGCGUGCGGUUUUUUUCUUUUUCCUUUUUUUACCUUAUUUUCCUUUGUCUUUACUUUGCAUGCAGUCAUGUGUACAUUUCAGUGAAGAAAUAACAAUAAUAACCUUUUCUCUCUCUCUCUCCUUUUUUUUUUUGAUAGAAUGGGCGAGAUAACAAUAAUAACUUCAUUUUAUUAUAGAAGAAACAUCUCGAGAGAGUCCAAUAUAUAAGUCAAUAAUUUAAUUUUGAUUUAAAAACUUAAGUUAUUAGGCCCCAAACUCUUACUUACAUAUUAAGUGUUUUUUCUCCGUCUCUCGAAUCAAUAUGGGACAUAAUCCUUUACUUAUAAAUCUAAUAAUUUUGCAUGGAACAUUUAUGGAAUCAACAAUUUAUUGUGGUAAAAAUGAACCAGAUCAUAUAUAAUUGUUUUUUGUACAAGGAUAGGAGAGGACUUAAUUUGGGUUCUCUACCUUGUGUGCUUCUAUGCAGUUAAUCGUGAACUUUAUGAUUAACAGUAUAUGAAUAUCACAUUUUCUAAGCUCACGAGAGCCAAAAAGUAUUUUUGAAGUAAUUAAAAAGAUUUAAUCCGAAAACUCAUACCAGAAGAAAUAGAAACAACAUACAGAAAUCCACAUUUCUCUCCAGAUUGAGAGCAAACUAUACAAAAUUAAGUUGUCACUAAUCUUCUAACUAACAAAAUGUCAUUUUAGUCAAGUAAACAAAUUGGAAUAUCAGAACUCAUAAUAAUAUACAUAAUCUGUUUCUUUUAUUUGUAAGAUUUAAACUAUACAUGAUAUCUUAGUAAAGCGCUUAUAACCUGGUCAAUCAAUCUCUAAAUGAAUUCAAUCAUCCAACAAGUCCAUCUACUUACAGCCAACCAGUACUCCAGUUUAAUCAUCCUAAAAUGAUAACUGGUUAAUGAAACAAUACUAGUUUUCCCUUUGAAACUAGCAAAUUCCACAGCCAAUGUUGACUAAUUAAUUAAUACAUUUGUUUUCCUCCCAUCAAAUUGAACAGGUUCUACUUUGGUCGUACAAAUCCACAACAGAUGCCUCUAUUAAUCUCGUACAGUUUGCCGCAUUGAUUACAAGAACGAUUUUUGAUGUGUAAACGUGUCCCUUUUGCAUGGAAGAAGAAACAUGACUUAGCUGCAGUUAGAUGCAUUAUCUCUCAAGUUUCUCCAAACUUGAUAAGGUAAAACCAUAAACGGAUUCUUUUAAAAGUUUAGAUACUAAAAAAAAAAAGAAAAAUUGAUUCAAUUUAUAUUACUAUAUAGUUCUUAUCAGUAAAUAAAUCACCUUUACGCAGGUUGUCCAUGUCAAUGCCAAGUUGUUAAUUUUAUUUUUACUAGGCACGUAUAAAAUUCAUAGCAUUAAUUUCUUGAUACUGCUGCAAUUUAUUCCUGUCACAAUAAGAAGCUAGGGAGGCCACAUCUAUGGCAAAGGCACUAGAAUGGCUUCAUAAAGAUUAAAGAGCUUCUUCUUGAAGAACGUUUGAUGAAGAUCCUAACUAUAUAUGCUCAAAACGAUAAGCAUGGUGUUGACUAGUGUAAAUGGAUAGAUUCAGAGAGUUUCAGCCAAUUGGAUGCUCUUGUGAGAGAUAAGCUAAACAAUUUCAACAUGAUCAUAAUUAAAUGAGGGACAAAGUCAAAUCCAUGAGUAUAUAAGGGAAAAGUAUAUACAGUACAGGAGUUAUAUUUGUUAACACAAAAACCCCCCUUUAACUUAGUCAGAUAAUCAAGGUGCUUUAUCCAUUUGUGACUUGUACCCUAUGUCCUAAGUGAUUCUUGUCCUUUUGCACCAGCCAAAAGUUGAUGAAAAAUGAUUGGAUUGGUAGCUUUUAAAUGUGGUUUCGGACAUUCGAAAAGUUGCUAAUAUUUAAUCAUAUGGACAGCAAAACUUAGGGUAAGAGAAAAAAAAAUAACGAAAGAAAGAUGGCAGGAAUUCAUUUUCUGCAAGCAGGGAUGUGGAAUGGGGACUGUGAUUGUUGUUGCCAGGGGGAUAGUGGAAGAGAAAACAAAUAUUAGUGGCAUCUACGCAUAUCUUGCCAAUGCUAGGUAAACAAUUGCAGGAGGGUUGUGAUAGUUAAGCUUAAUCAUAGAGAUCUCAAAUCCUCAAUCUGAUUUAUAAAUUUAUGAGUUUUUUAAUGAGUAAUAAAUGUUUUUGAGGCCCUUGAUGGAUCACUUUCAAUCAUAUAAUAAGUAGCAAAGAUCCAUGCUAGGCAUGGAUCAAUACUUUAUCAAAAGGUUUAGUUGGGAAAUUAUUCAUGUAUGACACACAUACAGUACAACAGAUAGAAUAAAAUUGAAAAAAAGAAAAACAAAGGUGAAGCACCAUUCUAAAGAUAACAAUGAUCCAUGUGACUAUAAGUCAUAUACAAUGUCCCAAACAAUUUGGCAUUGAUGUUUAAGCAACAUAUUUGCACUACUUUUGGUCUUCUCUUAAAAUGGGAUGAAUUGAUAAAGGGAGAAAAUAAGUGUAAUAUGAAUUUAUAAAUGAGAGUGAUCUUUACUCAAUACGAACUUAGCGGCGCUAGAUUUAAAUUUGCGUAUCUUAAAUUUCAUCCCUUACCAGCUAAACAUAAAAAAGAAAAAAAAAAGUGUAAUGUGGUAUUACCUAUUUGUGCAAUUAUUGUUCAACCAUGCAAAUGUUUAAACCAACAAGUAUCAAGUUUGUUUGUGCAUAUCUACCUGCAAAAUAUUGCUGAGAAAUUAUCUGACCCAAAAAAAAAAGAAAAAAUGAAAUCAAUAUGGGCUAGGCCCAGCCCAGUUACUAUUCCCUGUAAGUGGCUCCCAACUUGGAUAGGACCACAAAACAAAAAGCAACCUACAAUUCUCAUCUGUUAUCAACGCGCCACCAUGGACGCGUUGGUCAACCAAAAAUCUUCCCACCCCAUUCCUUACUGGACCCAUCAUCUAACAAUCUCAACCGUCAAAUUCUCACCCCGUUGUACCGCAGCAGAACUCCCAACCGUUAGAUGAGCGUUUAAAUAUCACGCUCCUCAUCAGCGCGUGAAAUUCCUCGUCCACUCCCCUCACCCAGCUCUCUCACUGUCCUUCUUGGCUUCUUCUUUCUCAACUCACCCCAGAUUUCUUCCCCAGGAUCAUAGUUAGGAAAGAGUGUGAGGAUUCAUACUCAAGCUGUGUGUGAUAGUGUGUGAAAGAGAGAGAUCUCGAGAAAAAGGUAUGGCUUCUGUUCCUAAUUUAACUUUUGGGAAAACCCCUCAAGGAUUUCCCUGUAGUUAUUGUUUAUGUGUAUGUGUAAAAGGGUUUAAUUUAACUUUAGCAGUGUAGAGGACCCAAAAAUAUAGAAUUUGGGUUCUUGUGAAAUGGGGUUAAUUGUAUUUUAAGAUUGUAGAGAACCAAAGUAUAGAAAUAGGGUUUCUUGUAAAAUUGUGGGCUUUUGUGUUUAUGCAUGCAGCAGCUAAUUUCGAGGUAAAAGAUUGAAUUUUUCCCGGUGAAGAAAGUGAAGCUUGGGAUUUAUGUGUGUGAGUUGUGUUUAUGCAUGUGCUUUUUGUAUGUAGAUUAGUUGAAAAAGAUUAAAUUUCUAGGGUUUUGGGAGGUGGAUAAAUGGCUUCUGGAACAACAGUUGGUGGUGGAGACGGAGAAAAAGAAGGGUCUAAAGAGAAGCAGAGGUGGGCUGAAGAGAGCAAGGUGUAUAAAAGGAAGUCUGUCAAAGGGUUAAAGGAUAGUAGUGACAAGAACAACAGUUAUGGUGCCCAGCUGGGGCAAAGUCAAACUGGGAAACUUGGGAGUGAAGAUGGGAAUCUGUUGGAAGAACCUGUGUUUGGUGUGGCGUCCGGUGACUCAUCGAGUCGUCCACUGGGAGAUCGUGAAGUGUCUGGGAGAAAUGGGGUGGGGAAAGGUGGGUUUCUGAGGCAAGAAAAUAAGGUCACCAUCAAUUUGGCGAUGAAGUCGAAAAGGGAGGCACGGGAGCUGAGGAAAAGGCUCGAGAGCGAGUUGGACGAGAUUAGGAGAUUGGUGAAAAAGAUUGAAGGGCAGGAGGGGAAAAAGAGCAGUAAAGCUGGACGUGGUGUUGAUAAUGGUGGGAAGUUGAAACGGGUCCAUUCCGAGGUGGAUUCUGUUGGAACGCCUCGCAUUUCCAAGCCUUUGCAUCAGUUGAGCGUAUCAGUGGUGGAGAACAGCAAUGACAAUGGGGAUAAAGAGAAACGGACGCCCAAGGCAAAUAAAUUCUACAAGAAUACAGACUUUUUGCUUGCAAAGGAUAAGUUUCCUUCUGCAGAAGGCAACAAGAAGUCUAAAUCUGGUGCUGGGAAGAAAGCUGGAGGGGGUGAAUCAGGACAUGGGUUUGUUUCAGGGAAGUUUUCUAAUCAAAUGUUGAAGAAUUGUAGCUCUUUGCUUGAUCGAUUGAUGAAGCAUAAGCAUGGAUGGGUGUUCAACAAACCUGUUGAUACUGUGCAUCUUGGUUUGCACGAUUACUUUGACAUUAUUAAGAAUCCAAUGGAUUUGGGUACUGUAAAAGCUAGGCUUAGCAAUAACGGGUAUAAAUCUCCUAAGGAGUUUGCAGAGGAUGUGAGACUUACAUUUCAAAAUGCUAUGACAUAUAACCCUAAGGGGCAAGAUGUUCACGUGAUGGCUGAGGAGCUAUUAAAGAAUUUUCAGGACAAAUGGGCUGCUAUUGAGGCGGAAUAUAUGCAUGAGAUGAUGCAUGGCCCGGAUUCUGAAGUGGGUUUACCGACUCCUAAAUCUAAGAAAGCUCCUCCAGCAGUAAUGGAACCUCCUGAAAUGAGGACUUUAAGCAGGUCAAAGUUUAUUAGCAAUCCUGUUGAUCCCAAAACCAAAACCAUGAUUUCUGCUGGUUCAGGGAGAACUGCAGCCCCAAAAAAGCCAAAGGCAAAAGAGCCCAAUAAAAGGGAAAUGACAUACGACGAAAAACAAAAACUUAGCACAAAUUUGCAGAGUUUGCCUUCUGAAAAGCUUGAAAAUGUUGUGCAGAUUAUAAAGAAGAGGAACCCUUCUCUGUGCCAAAAUGAGGAUGAGAUUGAAGUUGACAUUGACAGUGUUGAUACUGAAACUCUUUGGGAGCUGGAUAGAUUUGUAACAAACUUCAAGAAGAGUCUGAGCAAGAACAAACGAAAAGCUGAGCUUGCCAAUCAAGGAAAGGGAGAAGCAGCCCGGAGUGUUCCAGAAAAGGUAAGCUAUUGAAAUUUCUAUUUGAUGCCUUUCUGUUGUUAAUUUCGGUGGUUAUAGGCACUUAGCUUCCGUUUUCUGCAGGACCUUGCCCCAGCUGCAGCAGAAACUCUGAAAGAAAGGAAGAUGGGUAAGCUAUCUGAGCUCAAGUCUCCUUUGCUCUUGAAAUAACGGCAAACUUGGUUUUCAAACAUAGUGAAGUUAAAUGUGUUUUCUGAACAGAAGCUAAGAAAAAUUAUUCAUCUCAAACUGAAGUGGAAAAGAAGAGAGAUAAUGCAAGUCGAUCAACUAACUCAAGCGGCUCGAACGCGGACUCGGGAUCUUCCUCAGGGGGUAUUGCUAAUUCUUACUUUGUAUUUUCUGUCUGGAGAUUCAUGAUUACAAACUUAUCUCCAAAGUGAGAGAAUGUUACUGAAUUGUCUUCUCACUUUACAUUUUUUGGCAGACUCUGAUAGUGGAAGUGCUUCAGAUGGAUCCGAUGCAUGACAUUGAACUAGGAAUUAGAGUUACUUGUCAAUGUAAGAUAAGUUUCUUUGUGGAUUUAUUUAUUUGUCAUUUCAUGGAUCGUGGAAUUGAAUCUGCUUUUAUUGAUUUCUCUUGUUUCCUUGCUCAUAUUUAAUUAAUUUUCUGUUAUUUAUCGAAGCACGAACCUGUUGUUGUUUAUGUUAGCCUUUUCUUUAAUGUUUCUAAUUCUCUUUGUGAAUUUUGCGUGUUGUUCACUUUUAUGGUUGCUGGCUUUACUUGAGUUUAACUUAAAACUUAAGAAUGCUCAUUAAGAUCUAGAUAUGAUAGUUAAGCAUGUAAAAAGUGCACUUGUAAACAAUAAAUGUCUUAAUUGCUUUAUAAUUUCCAAAUUACUGGGAAGUUUGUAGAUCAUGAGAAAAGAUGAUUGUGCUCUUUUGCUCUAUUCAGCAAUGCAUGGUAGUUAAACUUUUUUUUUUUUCGGAGCAUAUAUUGAGCGCAUCGAAUUUGUCUAUCUACAAUUUGAAAGUGGCAUUUUCCUAGACAAUAAUACUGCAGUAUCUUGUUUAUGCUUUAGAAGCUGCUGUUGACACUCCCCAAAUGUUGAUAAUUCUGGAGUGCCUGUAAAGCUGUCAAAGAUUGAGGGAAGAGGAUAGAGAUUUCAUUAAAUUCUUUGUGAGUGGAUAUUAACACAAGUGUGAGAUAUGACUUAUCAAACAAAUUAUUGUGACUUGUACAGUUUUUGCUUUAAGAGGAAGUGCUGGUCAUUGUUAAACAGUCUGCAUGACUUUACGUGUGAAAUGACUUUCCUUAACUAGUUAAAUGAAAAGAGGGAAAGGUAGGAAUAUGCAAAACUUAAGCAUGAAUGCAAGUGUAACAAACUAGAGUUCAGCUAAAUAUAGAUAUGUAGGUUUGUGGUAUAAUGAUGGAAGCUUUAUUAAAUUUACUUCCUUUGUUGGCUCCAACACUGUGGCACUUCUUUUACAUUUUUUAAACUGGGAAGUUAGUUAUGGAGGCUGUAGAGAUCAACAUAAGUCCGUUGUUCCUUGAGCUUUAUAAUGGUCGAUCAGCAUUUUCGGUAUAUAUCAUCUUUCUAUCUUAGUAUCUUCCAUAAGCGCUCAAAGAAUCCCAAAUGUUUAAUCAACAUAUACACCAUGUGGCUGCAAGCGCUUAUUUGAGUGCUCUCCUUUAGCUUUAAGAUAGCACGAGCUUGUGAACUAAACCAGUGAUCAAGGUGCAGUGAUAUUUAUGAGCAUCAGAUCUAACAGGUGUAGGAAACACUCUAUUAUCAAGCUAUCAAGCAUUCAGCUUUUUCUUAUUCUUUCUGUACUAGAGUGUUGGUAAGAACUUGUACCUACUGUUAGGAAUUAUCUAUACUACAUUAGUUUCCAUGUUUGUAAUGCCUACUUUCGCAAAAGUCAUCUUAGGUGAAAGUAGUGCAGUUAGAACGUAAUACCUGUAGGUCGAGUAAUUUGGUCCUCUCUGUCUCUCUCUCACACACACAAAGCACACACUUUUCUUUUUUAUUGUUUCUCUUUCUGUUUUGAUUGUCAUGGUUAUGGCGAAUGCCUGAAUGUUAAUUUGAAGUUUGGCUCGUUUUUGUCUUCAAUAAUUCCAACAGGAUUGUGGCCUGAUUGAUGCUGCUAUUCCUUUUCAGGUCUCAUUUUGUUUUAACGAAGAAUCGUGCUCAAGUCUAAUAUUCAUGUUUCUACCAUCUUGCCUAGAUUUAUUGUUACAAACCUGUGGCCGAGCUUGACUGCAUAUCGAUCUUCUCUUGAAACAAUGGUCUCCAUCGACAGUAAGCUGUUUUAGGUGAUGGUUUUAGCAACAGAUGUUUCUGGACAACCUGGAGAAUGAUGCAGAUGCUUCUUUAUUGUACAUUGUUGUAGCUUUUGUACAUAGCUAACUACUGCUGGCCAGUGUUCUGUGAAUUUGUCUGGUGGUUUACAGCAGCGUUGGAUAAAAUAUUUCGCAGUUAAAUGCAAUUGUAUGUAUGUAUUAGUAAUAGUGGUAUGCUGUCGUUGACCUAAGAGGCAUUCUUUGUGUAAAGUCUUGUUCUUGGUCUUGGAUCUUUCUUGAUAAGUUAAUUUCAUAUUGCCCUUAGCUUUACUGCUUUUACUAUCAAUACUCCUAUAAUAGCUCGUUUCUUGCUAACUCCAAUCUAAAUUUUGGCGUUCCCUAGAUUGAGUGGUACCAAAACUAAGGGUAAUCCUUAAAGUUUUGUUCAUGAUAUUCCUGGUUUGCUUCCUUAAACCCCAUCUGUCAGUCCCUCAUCCCCUCCGUUGUGUGGGAAAAGAAUGGAAAGCCCCCAAAUCCAGAAUGGUGGACGUUGCAACAAGCUAUCCUGCGUUUCCACCUUGAAUUCUCCAGCUGUUUGUGUCCCUAGAGCUUAGUUUAUCGCUGCUCAUUAUGUGGUAUUUGCAAUAUUAUUUACACCUACCAUAACACUUAAAACUUCUUUAAUUGAAAUAAAACUUAGUACCAUACCAAUUUGUCAAGUAGUAAUAAUCACGAGUAUUGCUAGAAAAAGCGACUUAACAUAUAUAAACAUAUCUCUUGGUACAUAGUAUUUCGUAUUAUAAUUCAUUACUCAAACUUAGUACGUCAUGUUUCAUAAUCUAAAUCAUUAUUCAACAUUCACAAGUAUUGUAUCAAUCGUAUUGUAUUAUCAAUCAUCAUGCAAUAUAUACAAUGCAUAAACUAUGUCAUGGGGUGUAAUUACGAGAAUUAGCUUAGACAUGAAUAUGCCUCCAAGAUCGAUCUCUGAGUUGCGGCGAGGUGACUUGAAUUUCCCCAUUUCUUGAUUACACCAACCCAUGGCUCGCAAUUUUUUUGAAUUGCUGUUCCUCUUAUUCUGCGCGCACCUUGCCGGUUGAUCUUCGUCAUGGCCCGCAAAUUGCAUCCUGUAACAGCGCUUGCCCACUAUUCCCUCCCAGUACCCUCCUCAGUCCUCACUGCCUUAUUUGAAGGAAAUGCAUCCGCUAAAACAUAGAACCAUGCUCUCCACUACUUUAAAAUGCACAUUUUGGUCAAACACUUUCCCAACACACAACCCUUUUAAUCCAAGAAAGCCUUUUUCUGCUUCUGCUGUAAAAUAUCCCAAACAAGAAGAAACGCCUGCACAAAUAGUACACUGGUCCGGUCUUAACAACUGGAGAAGUAGCCCUCUUAAUCGCAACCGUUUCUGGGGAGCCAAUGGCCCACAAACAUCCCCGAUACAACCAUCAUUCUCGAAUUCUGGAGAAACCGGCGACAGUGGUUCAAUUUUAUGUUCAAUUGACUGGGGCUGUUGCUCUUCUUUAGCAGAGAUGGGGGCUGUGGUGCUAUCUACAGCUGACCCUCUUCAAAAAUCAAAGCUUUCCCACUUGGCUUACUCCAGAUGGUGCCAGGAGAGCCUUCCUGUUGGAGUCUGUGAGGCACCCUCUAAGCCUGCUCGUCCCCAGAAUCCGCAACUGGUUUGUUUUCUGAGAGUCCUUUUGGCCAUUUUGGUUACGGAGACAUUAAAAAUUUGAUCUUUUUGUUGGAGUUUAAGAGUUAAUGUGAGGAAAAGCAGAUAUGUUUGUGUAUGAUAGUCAUGUUCUUGAUUGAAUUGGUGGGAUUGGAGUUGGAGUUUGUGCUUGUGCUUAGAUGGUAAUCCAUGUGUUUGGUGAAUUUGGUAUGCUGGAGAGUUUAGGAAUUGUCUUUAUUGAAGCUUAGUUUCCUCGUAGAGAAUUGGCAAUGUAAAUGUUGAAACAAAACAAUAUUAUUAUGGGAGCUGCAUGAAAUGCUCUCGCUGUUAAUAAUUGACACCACUCUCUUUGGGUUUGUUUUAAUUUAGUAACUAUACUGUUUAUUAGUGUGACAAGCUGAGUACACUGGCUGCUCUUAGGACUGGUUUACUGUAUGAAAAUGCAGGUAUCUCCAAAGGAGAUUCCAUCCCCAAAACACUCUGGUUUGCCUCUUAAUGCAUAUAUGCUGCAUAAUCUAGCUCACGUGGAGCUAAAUGCGAUUGAUUUGGCUUGGGACACCGUUGUUCGCUUUUCUCCUCAUUGUGAGCAUCUUGGAGAGGGAUUUUUUGCUGACUUUGCUCAUGUGGCUGAUGAUGAAAGUCGACAUUUUGCUUGGUGUUUACAGAGAUUAGAAGAGCUUGGAUUUAGGUUGGUAUGGUAUUUUUGUUUUUUGUGAUAAUUGUCUUUGUUCAUAUAGUGACUAACAGCCUCUAUCGUUCUUCUUCUUCUUCUUUUCUUUUUUUUUUUUUCGCCCCGAGCAGCUAUGGGGAUAUGCCAGCUCAUAAUUUGCUCUGGAGGGAGUGUGAUAAAACAUCAGAUAAUGUUGCUGCACGUCUGGCUGCAAUUCCACUUGUCCAGGUACUCUGUUGGAUGUAUCUUUUGCAUCUUUAGUAUCAUUUCAAAUUCAGAUGCUUAUGGGAUUAUGAUUUUCCAAAAUUAUUUCCGAUGUCCAUAACAGCUGUACCUGAAUGUAUUUCUCUUCUUUCAGAGUGUUCUAUGAAGAAAGUCUCAUACUGGAUAAUAUUAAAUGCCAAGACAUGUUUAAUGCUGCCUAACUGUAAGAAAGUUGUCGGGUUCCUAACACAAAAAGGCUAUCUAAUAUGGUCUUUGUGUCCUUACCAGAGAAGUUUCCCUUCCCCAACAGAAGCCUUAGGUGGCUGUGAAACUAGCUGCAUAUUAUUGCCCUAGGUCCACUCAACUAUUAGAAGAGCACUAGGGCCCCUGAAAGAGCUACUAUUUAAUCCCAAACUGCUCCCGACUCAGCAGUCUGGUAGAGAUGAAUUGCGAUGGAGUAGCAAUACCCUACCCUUUUUUUUUUGCGGAUUUCUAAAUUGACGGUUGAAACAAAAAGAGCAAGCUGAUUGACUUAAAUAGGACUAGUUCCACAUGGCAUGAUUCCAUAUUGAUUCCAACGAAGAGAAAUUUUCCCAGUUAGAUAUGCAGUUAGGAUAACGAAUGGUUCACAUCUUCUGUUCUGAUGUUCUAGGAGGCCAGAGGACUUGAUGCUGGGCCUCGGCUUGUGCAGAAAAUGGUUGGAUUUGGUGAUCUUAGGACUUCAAAUAUUGUGGCUAAGAUUGCCGAUGAAGAACUUGCGCAUGUUGCAGUUGGUCUUUAUUGGUUUCUUUCAGUUUGCCAGAAAAUGGGCCGUGCGCCUUGCUCUACUUUUAAAGGUCUAACACAGUUACACUUAAUUUAAGCAGACCUGUUGCAAGUCUUUCUCUAAAUAUUGUGUUACUUAUGUGGCAGUCUUGCUCAAAGAGUACAAUGUGGAGAUAAAAGGACCCUUCAAUUAUUCAGCUCGAGAUGAAGUUGGAAUUCCUCGAGAUUGGUAAGUGUGGGAAAAUUUCCCUUCAUUGAAUCCAAUUAACUUAAUGGGAAGCAGAACAAAUAAUUUUACUUGCUGUACAGGUAUGAUCCUUCAUUUUCAAGACAAGGACAUGGGAAAGACGGGCUUUCUGAGGUAUUUAAUUUGAAGCUUCAAUCUUUAUCAGGAAACUGAAAAUGCAUCUAUUUGAAGCAUAUGCUAUCACCUUUCUAAGUUUGUUAAUCGAAACCGCCUGCAGGUUUACGAUAGGUUAGCAUGCAUAAUUUCUAUGGAACAAGAAAACUCAAAGAUGGACGCGUCUCGUGGAUGAAUCUUACGUUAAGAAGCUGUAUAUAAUCUAACUUCAUGAAUGUCAAACCUCAAGUGGAACAGCAAAAACUUCCAUUGCCCUUCUAACUGGAUGGUGAUUAUCAAUCUUCUCUAGGAAAGCUGCCCUGCAAGGUCAUUGGUCUGGUUGUGAUGAAUUAACUUAGCUUCUUAGUGUUUUAUAAUUCCUGGUCCAGGAUUCCCAUGAUAGCACCAGCACAACUCAAAUCAAAGACAUCCUUGCAGGUUCCCUUCUCUUGGGGGGUUCUUUUACGUCAGGGAUGGAAGAUACUUCGGAGCUACAAUUCGCUCUAUAGUACUCGUGCGAUGAUAUACCUCUUAGCUGAAGUUAGCAAUUGAUGUGUAAAUUUUGUGUGACAUAACUAUUACUGCUGUUAUCUCAACACUUUCAUCUCCAGAACAAAAGAUGGACAGGAAUUAUUCCACAAAAAAGUCUUAAGGAAGUGAAAAGGAAAACUUUUCUCUAUUUGUUUUUCCAGCAAAGAAGGAAGAGACACCUGAGUGCGUCUACGUCACAUUAUGCUUGUCAAUCUGGAAAGUAAAUCUCUUGCUUACGAAGAAAUUAGCAUCUCGAACCUAAUUCUUGAUUCACGUGUCCCCCAACAAAUCCUCUUCAUGAGAUUACGUAUUGAAAAUUGCAUUAAACCCAUCAAUUAUCACCACCUGAUUGCUUACUAUGUUUAGUAUAGGAUGACACUUUAUAGCUACGUGUCCUAUUAUUCCCAUGCUCAAAGAAGAAAAGAUAAAGAGAGUUUUCUAGAGGGGACCGACCUUUGGCUUUGGGAGGCAUAAAUCUCACAAGAAUCAAGAAUUCAACAUCCAAAGAAAAAUCCCAGAUCAUCAAGGACUGAAGAAAACAUCACAAAGAAAUGUGCUGUGGAGAUGGAGAUUGUAGGCCUUUGGCCUUCCUAUUAAGCCUGCCCUUCGCCUUUCUUGCUCUCCUCGUCUCUCUUGUGGGCAUCAUCAUUUGGAUUGUCGGGUACUGACAUUUGACUCAUUUUCUUCCAUUUUUCUUUGCAAAUUUCACUGCUGCUGCGUUGUUUUCUUGACUUUAUUUUGUCAAUCAUGUUUUGAUUCUCUCCUUUUUUCUCCUCUCCCUUUCUUGAAUUUUAUUGAUUGGUGUAGUAUACUGUUGAGCAUCAUAUGCCCAUGUUGCCUGUGCGUGACUGUGCUAGUGGAGAUGGCCCUGCAAUUGAUCAAAGCCCCCAUCCACGUUAUGGAGUGGUUCACCUCUCAGAUUCCCUGCUAGAUUAAUUCUUCUCCCUCUUUUUGUAACUUCUUCUUUUUCACAUCUUUGUUAGGAAAUUUAAAGUAAAUUGUAGACUCUGUUUUAUCUUCCUCUGCAUCUCUUGUUGUUAUUGAAUCAUUUACUUCAUCCUAGUUGCUAUUUCUGAUCCUUCUAUCUCAUGCUUAUCAAUUUCUUUGCUUUUUUGCUGGGGAAAAUACUCUUUAAAGUCUCCCCUUUGAUUCCUUCCCCCCAUGAAGAGAGAGGAGACAACAUUUGAAAGUAGAAAGAAGGAUUUUCGAACAUAUGAACUGCACUGAACCUUAUGAGAUUCUUGAACAUAAGAAACCACGCAUCAAAGAGGAUUACAUACAAUAGUUAACAGAAUUGAACAUCUGAACUGCACCCAAAUUUCCUUCGCCACAAAACAUAACUACAUAAGCAAACAUGAUGAAAAGAAAAAAAACAGCAUCAUUGGAAGGCCUUUCAUACACAACAGCAACAUGAUAAUAUAUGCGAAGCACUAAAUCAAUUUCAGUCAAGAUUGCCCUUUUUGCUCUUCUUUGUGUGAUUCAUCUUUAUCGAAGGUGUGAGUCUGACCAGGCAGGCCCUGUCCGGUAAGAAGAUCUUUCGUCGUUUGACCAAUUUCUGCUAAAGUUUCGCCAACUGCAUGCAGCACUCCACCGCCCUGUCCUUCUUGUCUCGUUUCUUCUUGGAUAAACUCCUUUUCUGUUGGUUUGGCUUCUCCUCCCUCUUCCUCGUAUUGAUUUUCCUUGGUGAUGAAUCCACCUUCCUACAUAUGUUUCAGGGUCAAAAAUCAAUCACCAAAAGCCAGCCAAAGAGAAAAAAGGCACGGAGUAUAACACAAUUUCCACAGCUUUUGCAAUUUUCUAGGACAAUGCAAGAUGCAAAAUCGCCUAGAAAAUACUUUGAUACUUGAUAGGUGAUACCUCAAAUGUAAAAAUUUGUUUUUUAUUAGUGAUUCAUAAGCACAAUUCUUCAGCCAGAUAUUUGCUUUACCUUUUGUCCUGUGAGCAUCAUAAAUAAGUGGUGCAAACAAAUCAAUUACUCGUAUCUUCAUGGUAAAAAAUCAUAAUCAGUCCGAUGUGCGAAUAAUGAAAAUUAUGACUCACUGAUUUACCUUAACUGGAGUUGAUUUCUUCUCCUCUAAUUCUCUCUGAGCCUCAGCCUUCUUCCUAGCUGCAUGCUCGGCAGCACUUUCUUCAGUUGCGACUACAGCAUCUUUAGCAGCAGCCAAUUUACUCUCAGUAUACCCGACAACUGUCUGUCCUGCACCCGCCACCUUAUCCUUGGCCACCCCAGCUACAUCAGCCAUUACUUUAGUACCCUGAGCAGCCUUUUCUGCCGUGUAAUGUGCCGCACCCCAGCCAGCCACGGCCGCCAUGUCUGUGGCUUCCCCGGCCACCUUUCCCAUGUAUCCUACUGCAGUUUUGCCGCUUUCCACUGUAAUAUCCUUAACAACCGCUGUUUGUUCUCCAACAUAACCAGCCGCCUUCUUGGUUGCAUCCACUGUAGCAUCCUUAGCCUGGACCGCCUUUUCCACUGUAACAUCCUUGGCCUCUUGACCCUUUUCAACAGCGGCGUCCUUCAAGGCUUUAGCCUUCUCACUAGCAACUUGAGUUCCACUUUCAACACCUUGCUUGACAGAUUCCUGGGCUUGGCCUGCCUUUUCUGCAGCAUAUUGGGAUCCAGUUUGAACUCCUUGCUUCGCUGUUUCCUUGGCUUGCCCUGCCUUCUCAGCGGCAUACUCAGAUGUUGCACCAGGUUUCUGACAUGCCGCUUCCUUUGCCUGCCGCGAACGCUCCUCGGCAGCCCUGAUGGCCUCCAUGGAAUUCUGCUGCGCCUGUUGCCUAUACUCGGUUAUCUCCUCCAAGGAAGGCAUUUCUUUCUCUUUACCUUCCUCUUCGCCCUUCUUCCUUUCUAUCCCUUCACCCCUUUCUUCAUCUGUGCCUCCACCGGCUUUCACAGCCAGAGACUCAAAAUGGGUAGCCAUUUUUGGGACCCUGUCUUUCUCUGCAUCGACUGCUCGCUCAUCCGUAACAUCUUCCCUUCUCAUUUGCUCUGACGACAUUGUCAAUUCUUGAUCAAAAGAUGAUAGAUAUCUUUGGAAAUUUCUUUUGGAACACAAAUGGAUUUUAUGUAGUAAAAAAAUGCAGUACUAGGAUGUAUCCUAUGCAAUGUGACUCUGUGUGAGAAUUCGAGACAUCAGGAAGUUUGGAAAAUGGUUAUAAAAACUGAGGCCCAGAGGUGAUGGCGGUUUCCAAGGAGAUCGAUGUAAGAAGAGGAAAUGACAGGUGGGCAAAGCUCAUGCAAUGUAGUGGUGUUGUGGGGUGGUGGCCUGUGUGAGUCAGCAAUCGAGUCAAGCAAAGAUGUACACGUGUUUUUUUUCAGCAGGAAUGAUACAACGAAUCGGCAAUGCUUUUUGAAAAAUUGUGUGGAUAAUUGGAAUUUAGAAAAAUGAAGAUGUAUAUGUAAACAUUUCCAAGUUCAAAUUUAUGUAAAUAUGACUGCAUGAAAAUGAUUAAUUGGGGCAAAUAUGAAUAUGGGUCAACAUGUAUACCAAAACGGACCGAGAAAUCGAUAGUGCUGUUUUGUUUAAUAUCACAAAGGAAAGCCCAAGUGCCAGCAUUCAGCAGGAACAUACUAUUGAUGAUUUCCUACAAUUUUUUGGUACAAAAACGUUUGGGAUGAAUUAUUUCGAGUCAUCAUCAUGAGUCACGGCGUACCCCUGUAAUCAUACAUCGUUUUACAGAAAUUCUUACAAAUUGUUUAUUAAUACAAUUCUUACAUCAACAACGGGAUGUAAAUACACGAUCUUUCCUAUACGCAGGCAGGCAGCAGAAAAGGUGAUUACAGAAUUUAGUAAAUGUAACUAUAAGUAUUAGAACCAUUUCCAAGUCAAAAUCUGGUUUCCACUCACUGACCUGGAUCCAACUAGACAUGGACGGUGUUUCAAUUGUGGUUUAAUCAAAUCCACUUUGAUCCUCCUAGAUGCCAUGAGGCUUGUUGUCCACUUGUUUCAUUGAACUAGCCCAAAGUGCUAAUGCGUUUAUAAUUCAAGUCGCAAAGCAGUUGCCAAUCAGCCCGUAGUCUAGUGCUGUAGACUAAUGGAAGUCCCCAAAGAGAGACUGGUAUUCUUUCGAGGGACUGAAGUAAUAAUCAGUAUGUUGAAUUGAUGAAAUUUGGCAGUUUGAAAAUAUGCAUUUCCAACUGAAGUGCCAAAACAGCUUCAAAUUUAAGGUUAACGUUCGAGUACUAAAGAAUGACUUGUCAAAGCCCCUGUAUUGCAAAACUUCCAGUUUAAAAGGCGAUAUCGAUGAAUGGUAGAAUUUUAACCACAUUAACAGAACAAAAAGAUGAAGCAAUUCUGACACAAGAGAAUGCUAUAGUUGCCUGAAAUUGGCCUGAAAAUAAUCCAAUAACAUUAAUAAUUCUCAAAAAAUGAGAACAACUUCUUAAUCAGGCAUCCUCUCAUGCCAAAAGCCCCCGUAGUCUCCACUUUACAAUUGAAACAAUCAAACAGUGAUCAAAUUAUUCCCUUGCAUUGCACGAGAUAAAUAGAAUAGAGCCAAUUUCUACCCUUAAACAAUGGACAUUUCUUUCUGUUGAUGAACUAAGUAUCAGUCAGAGUUCAUUCCUGCUACCCCUUUUUUCUGUAUCUUCCCCAUCAACCAAAAAGAGCUGCAUAAAGAAGUUCAUUCCAAGUAUCAGGCAAUCCAGGCAGACACCAAUGGCUGCAAUCCAGGCCACUGUGCUCACUGUAGUAUGUUGGAUGUGCAUCCUUGCGAUAUUGUGAAAGUGUUGUGAUGUCCAAUAAAUAAACAGGAUUCUUGAUUCUGCUCAGAACUUUGUUCAGAACUAUUGAAGCCAAUGGUGUGCCUGCCGGAUACCUUGCACCAAAGUAUGGCUGUGUCUCGCCAGCACAGGAUCUUGACGGUGCAUUCCAUUCCCUGCCCCUGAAUUCAAUUGCAAAGAUUAACAACCGCUAAGGUUCUGUAGACUAGUUCAAAGGCAAAGUUCUAACGAGUUAAUCUUAUUUAUGUAUACUGACAAUGUACAUACACUGUUAGGUGGUUAGAUGCUUGAUAAUUAUAUAAAAUUUAAAUUUAGAUUAAUUGUUAAGCAUCUAACGGGGAUAUGACAGUGUAUAUACACUAUCAUGGUUAGAUGCUUGAUAAUUAUAUAAAAUUUAAAUUUAGAUUAAUUGUUAAGUAUCUAACGGCGAUACUAUAUUUACUGUAUCAGUGUGUAUAAAAUUAAUUCAUUUUUAAACAUAACUUCAAAGGGUUAACUCUUGAAGAAUAAUGUUUCACGAAAAAUAGAUAUUGCAACUUUUUUUUUUCUAAUUUGUUCAAGAAAAGACUCUAAACUUUACAACGGGGAGGAAAAAAAUAGGUAUUGCUACUUGUUAGUGGUGAUUUCGUAGUAGCAUUUGGACUUGAAAAAAAUGGAAUGCUAAAAUCUUGUCAAACUAAAUAUAUUUAGUUCUUCUACAAACAACCAUAAUGUUUAUCUACGAGCCUUUUGGUUUUGAUAUAUAUGCAUAAUUUGCGUACUUGGAUUUUACAAUGAAAUUGGAGGGAAAUUGCAAUAAACUAAUCUCAAAUUAGGUGAGGAAUUGGGAACAGAGAAAUUGCUUACAAGUAGUGAGUAGGGGAAAUUCCUUGGAAGAUGACUUUAGUUUUGGAAGGAUCGACGUUCCGGUCGACCCAUCUGGCCCAUGUUGUCAUCCCUAUGUAGUAAGCAAUCAGACGGUUCAUAUCUUUCUGAACUUUGACGCCAUCUUGUAUGUAAUCCCAUCUGCGUUAGAUCAUAGGGCACUGAAAUCAAUUAAUACAGCCUAAAAUAUAAAUUGACCAUAAAAAUUUCAAUCAUAAAAAAUUUAUGAAAUUGGAGAAUUUACGGCUGGGAUCUUCCAGUAUGGGUCCACCAAUGCCAAGAGUUGAAAAUUAGAAGGUCCAUCCCUCUCCAUGCAUCUCCACCCCUAAUGGAGUCCAGCUUUAGAACUACGCCCUCCUUUUCCUUCACCAUAUCCACCAGGUAUGGGGUGCGAUAUAGUAGUAUCCUAACAUUAUAAUCCUAAUCAAACCAAAAACAAAUCACAAUUGUUACCACAAGGCCUCCAUUUUUCUUUUUUCUUCUUUUUUUUUUGCUACAAAAGAAUAUACAUGACAACGUCUAAGAGUAAUAAAAAGAAUCUCAGAAUUAUUAGUCGAGAAAGUGUAAGUGAAAGAUUUCGAGUUCGAUUCCUCCACACAGAAUAAAAUCUACUUGUAUGGUUCUAGUAAGUCAACCAUCUUUGUUACUUUAUCUGAGAAAUUUGAUUGCUACAUUUACCUUAAAUUAGAUCAACAAAAUUGCAUACAAUAAUUCUUUAACAUUCCAUUGAUGUUUAACAUAUUCCUUUUUUCUUUUUUUUUUUUGGUUCCUUCUAUCCAAGAGAGAACACAAACCGUAAAAGGGGAGAGUGUGCAAAAAGAAAGAUUGAUAGUUGAAUCAAAUACGUUAAGAAUCACUUGACUAAUGUUCCUAUAUUGUUUGGAAUGUGGUUUUCUUUAGAAAAAUUUUUAUGUUUUACGUGAACAUUAUUUUUUAAUCUUUUAUUUACGUCACAUACAUCAAAUCCUUACUGAAUAUUUUUCUAUAAAAAAAAACUUUUAAAAAUGACAAUCGAAAUUAAAGUUAAAUCUAAAACAUCAUAGUAACGACUCAAAACGUUUAACUUUUCAAAAAAGAAUUCGAAAAAUAUUUAUCUUCCUAAAGAUGACACUACUCACACCCAUUGCCAUUCACGAGUUGUUGAAGAUAGGAUUCACAAUAGGCCAGAUGGACACUUAGAAGAAAGCAAAUCGCAGACAGGAUGGUCCAUGGAUUAGCUGUUUGGGACUUCUUUUUCCCGAUUCCGUAUUUCAGUUCGUUUCUACCAACAUGCGUCCUUGUCCGGCUGUCCCGUCCCUACUUUCUGUUUUUGCCAACAAGGCAAUCACGCCAUCACUUUGACCAAAAAUCACUCCUAAGUUCCACAAAUAAGGGUAGGUGGUCCGAUUUUCUUCAUCAAUACAACAUAAUUUCUCUUCCUAUACUCCUCCUAUAUCCACUAACUCCCUACCAUAGCCUCCAUAGGCUCCUCCUCCCCUAAAUUAGAAUAGAAUAGAUUAUAUAAAUGUAUCGUUGCUGACAAAAUAUAUAUAUAUAUAUAUACUCCUCCUAUACACACCUUCAUGGACCGAUGAAUAAAGUCUACCAAGAUUGGAUAAUUUUGUGUUAUACAUUAAAUUUCAACUUCUUCACGGAUAACAUUUAUAUACAUUGUGAGUGUAAAAAAACUUUUAUGCAAGCAGAUUUAAAACUUAACACAAAUUCAAAUUUGAAAUUCAAAUCAUGAAUACAUGACAUAUAUCUAAAACUGUUAGUAUAAAAAAAAUCAUUACACUAUUAAUAUAUAAAAAGUCAACCCUUUCUUUAUUAGCAAAAUGCUUUAUUGGCUUUUUUCAAUUACUGUGCGCCCUUAGAGUACAAUAUAAGCACACCCAAAAGAAGGAAGGGGCCAAAUAUGAAAUUAUGACGUCAUUCGACCCCACCCCUUUUGUUUUGUCUAGAAAAUUUAAAUUUUUGCAGAUAAUAUAUAAUAUGAGUGGACCUUUGGUUGUAUACGUGCCCUUAAGUUAUAGAAUAGAAAAACCCUACAUUAUACUAACUUUCCAAAGUCAAAAUUUCAUGAUAAACCAGAUGGUGAUGUCAAAAUACAAAAUUUCUCAAAAUUGAUAAGAUAAAAACUUUGCAGAAAACCCAAUGAUCGAUUUUCUAUAUUUUAGGAUUUGAAACACGAAAAACUUUGGAUGCGGAAUUAUAAAAAAGAGAUGUUGUAGCAUAAAACUGAUUGGACUAGUUCAGAAUUUAUUAGGAAGCAAGCAAAUAAGCCAGAAUGCCUCUUUCACCAAAUUUAAUUCUACCAAAGAAGACAACAAAACCCGAAUUAAUUAAUUGAUUAGUCAUUUUCCAGCAGUCCUCCUCCCCUCUAUAAAAAGACAAAAUCAUUAAUUAUUUUAAAAAAUAAGCCAAAAGUCUCUUUUUUUUUUUUUUUUUUUUUUUGUGGACUACCGCUUCAACUUUAUGCAUGGUUUCUUCCACAAUCAUAAUGACACCCUCAAAUUCUACCUGAUUUUUCAAUCAUGCCUCCCUCAAUUACUCCUGAAAGAUGGUGCAUAUUACUACUAGUAUUUUUUACCAUCACCAUUUUCAAAAAGAUUCCUGUUCUUUUUUUUUUUUAAAGUCAAAACACUUACAAGACAAAUUGGGACAAAUUUACAACAUGUAAUCAUUAGCAAGACUUUUAAAUUCUUCUCAUAUCUGCAGUUUAAAUUCUUUUCACAGAAGUCUCAAGUGUUGCAGAUGCGUUUCUUUGUCCUCUUCUUUACCACAGCUUUCUCCAUGUGAAAGAAAAGGCUAAAUGCGUUGAAAGUUUCAUGGACAUGGACCAUCAACAACUUUGCAAAAAUUGAUUCUUUUCUUCCUCAAAACAACUGGCAAAUUCACCAAGCACGCCAUCACUCCAAAAACUUUCUAACCAAACAAGUAUGGAGAAAAACAACUGGCAAUUCACCAUCGGAAUAAAGAAGUCCCAAAAAGUUUGUGUCCCAAAAAUUAAUGCCCUGAUCUAUCCAGUCUCAGGAGCAUAUGGGGUCCCAAUAUUUCCUUUACCAAACUCGAAUUCCAUCUUAAAGCGCCUUGACGGCAGUCACAUUCGGAAACCAAACAUUAUCAAUUUAAGGAAGAAAUCAAGAAAGUGACAAUAGCCACGAAGGCGGAUGGCAAUUGAAUUCAAAUCAAGUGUUGAAAAAUUGCGAUGUGAACUAUAAAAAUAUUAGGUGCGACGUGCCCAUUAUGUGGUAAUAUUACGUGAUGCACUAGUAUUAAUAAAAAUUCAUAGCAUUAACCUGUCUGAAAAACACUUACGAUUAUUAUUUGAUGACAGAUGAUUAGUUUUAGUGCACCACACGUGAGCUAGCGAGUAUGGUCUUAGUAAUAGCCUCUCCGUCAAUCAUACUAGCUUAGCUGAGGACAUGGUACAGUACGAGCAGAAUGGAGAAGAAAAUGGUUGUUUGACGGAGUGCAAGUGACAAAAUUUGGGGCAGAAAUAACAGAAGGGAAGUGUAGUCAUGAACAUCUAUCACUUCACCUUCCAAAAAGCUAGGACAGAGACAGGAGAGAGGUGAUGCAUGCACCAAAUCAAGUCAUCAUUCAACCAAUUCAACAGGAAAGGUUGCUCAAAAUCUUGAAAACCUUAGGCGGUGAACCAUCAAGAGACAAGACGCGUGAAGAAAGAAACAUGGCUGGAGAUUAGGACUAAAACUUACCAGAAAUGCAAUUUCAGAAAGCCCCUCUUUCCUUAUCAGACUGUACCUAGCCUUCGGCACCCAAGAGUGAAUCAUGCAACCCAAUGAUGCCCACAUGUUGAAACUCAAUGAAUCGCCAACAAACAUGAUGUUCUUCCCCCUCCAUUUCUCCAAGAAAUACAGCCCAUUAAACCUGCAAAAAAAAAGUAGCAGAGUUGGAACUCCAAUCCCAGACCAGAAGAGAAUUCAAGAAACCAAAGUUGAGAUUGAAGAGUUCUGAGGAGCACUCAUGGAGUUUGUACCUUGGGAUGUUACAUGAAAAUGGCUGCCACCUGUAUUUGAGGUACAACUUGUCAGGCCUCUUGUAGAGGAGACAGUUGAAUUCUGUAUCAAUGAAGGGACAUGAUGCAUAAUCAUAAAGGGGAUAUUGAGCAUCAUAUACCCAUUUGCCUCUGAAAAUGUUGCAACCAGUGGCUAGCAUUGUGGCUCCAAUUGAACUAGUGGUACUAAUAUUGGCAGCAUUCAAGAAAUUCUCGAUUUCAUCAUCAGCUUUUGCUGUUUGGCAUGAACAAAGAAAGAGUAAAAGUACUGAAGGGAUGAACAGAAAUCUCAUCUUGGAUUUCUAGCCCAGCAGAUUUGUCGGAGCUAAAUAACGAGGUUUUGAGGUAAAGUUUGUCGUUAAGAAAUGUGUUUCAUAUACUAUAUAGUGUACAACAUUAUAUACUAAUAUUGUGCGAGACUUGUGGACUCUGGUUAGAAAGAGAGAGAGGGAGAGAGAAUGAUGAGAAAGUAUUCCCAGUUGCACAUGCCCUUGAAAAUUAGAUGAACCCCACCUCCCCCAGGCGCCAACAAACAAGUGUCUCUUUUUUUAAAUAUAUAUAUCCAUUUGUGAAUUGUGAAUUUCUACAAGAAGAAUUAAAAAAAAAAUUGUGAUUAAUCUGAUCUUGUUUGGGCUAUAUGCUGGACUUUAGCCUGUGGGGUUGGUAAUUUUUUUUUCUUUUUUUUUUUUGUUGCAUUUGAAAUAUUUUGAAACCUCAUUUGAGUGUUCUUUUUCUUUAAAGAAAAGGAUGGCCUUUUUUAUAAAGUUCUCUUUGUGUACUUUUCUUGUGUUUGGUAGGUGAUUCUAAAACUUUUGGUAAAGGUGGCAAUAAACAUUAUUAUUAAUUGCAUAUGCUAAGGUUAAUUGUCUCUAGCAUCAUUAUUAAUUAAGCUGCACAUUUUGUUAAUGACUUCCACUCGCAGCUGCCUCUCUUUCUCUUCUACACUACUAACAUGCGAGAGUUUAUCAAAACCAUGGGCUAUAUAUAAUACAUAGUAUUAGAUUCUGUUUCCUUCUCUUUCUCACAUUUGCUCUUAUUAACUACAAGUGGCUUAAGCAUUAUUUUUCCUUUUUAAACAUUUUAGGAAAUGAAAUUUUUUGAACAAACUUGGAUUGACCUAAACUACGGUCAAUUUCUAGUGCUGAUUUAGGUAAUGUUUGGAUUGUAAUUUUUUGGAGUUUCUAUAGAAAAUGUAUGGUAACGAUUUGAUAUAUGUGAAGUAAAAAGACGAUCAGAAAACGUAUUUACGAAAAAUGUAGAGAUUUUUUAGUGAAAAAUUCCUUUCUAAACAAGCCCUUAGACUUUUGUAAAAACUUCAAGAAAUCAAAUGGAGGCCAUAAUUCAAUUUGUUUCUUUUGUUAAAAUCAAGUUCCUAGGAUAACUAGUGAACAGAUAAAUCACAUGUAAGAAAAGCUCGACAUUUUUUUCAACGGUGAGAAUUUAAUCUUAGUCUAUUUUACUCUUUGAUCCAUCCUAGAAAUUGAAUAAUUACACGCACAUUUCCUCUAACGCUUUUGUAUCAUUGAACUAACCCACAUAAUAUAGAAAAUAAAAAUAAACAAAAUCAUGAGUUUAAAGAGUUGUUGUGGGAAAUUAAAAUUUAAGUCUAGAACUAGACGAGGUGUCUUUGUAAUUACGACAAAGCUCAAGGGUGGACGGUAGUGUUAACAAAAUUCCUGCCGUGCUCGUGCUUCUUCUUCUUUCUUUAUCAUAUUGUUAGAACUUUCCGCGUGAAUUUUCUUUGCUACCAUAAUCACAUUCGUCCAAUUAAAGUAGUGGAGGACACCAGUGACUGUUGAUUGAGACCAGGCCGCACCACAUAUUAUUUGAGUCUGAUAAUACUUUAUUUACAUGGCAAGAUAAAGAGAACAAAAUGAAAUUGAUGCCUUGGAAGAUUGAAGAUUCAGCAAUUGAGACUUGCUGACUUUUAUCUUAUUAAAGUUACAAUCAAUCCAACAUCAUGGAACCAUCCUCAAUCCUUUCUUUUCAAUUUUUUUUUUGUCUUUUCUUUUUAAUUUAAUCACUCUACUAGAAGUCUGAAUUGGUAUUGUGUUUACAAUAUUGUUGUCAUUAAUUAAGUAAGAGUACUUGUAAGGUGGAUGGAAUUAAUUGGACAAAAGAGCUGAUAUGACAAUUUAGGGAUGAUAGUUUCUUUCUGCCAUGUAUCCAAUAGUUAUUUGCUUAGCCAUCACUCUUUAUCUCCGAAGCAACCAUCCUGCUAUGUGCUCGACACUUGUGAACUUUAAUAACUCGAAGGCUUAUGAUUGGAAAUUAUUGUGUUUUUGGUUACGUACUCUGGUUAUUUUCUUGCGAAAAUGGAUAAAAAUGAUGAAGUGGCACAACACCUGUAAAAUGUAGUAUUCAGCUAAUUAAUUCAUGGAGGGGACUGUUUUCAGGCACCGUUUUGGAUUGAGGGAUAGGGGUUCAUUUGUGAUUAUUAUUUGGACAAGAAUUCUAUUAUUUUUUAAUAGAGGAAACUUUCUGGCUAGUGAGGGCAACGGGGUGGAAUUGGGGCCCGCCCCCACUUCCCCCUCUUCUUCUGUGAGGUUAAUAAAAAUUUGUUAUAUAAUUUUAUUAUAAUUAAAUUCUAGCAAAUAAUUAAGUAGUAAAAUAUGAAUACAUCAUCAAAUCAUUAUCCGUUGUAAUUUUAUAAUUAAAAUUCAUAAAAAUAAUCAAACAAAAACUAUUUGAAUAUAAUCUAACAUGAUGAAACAAAUACAACUACAGUAGUCAAGUUUUCACUUUUGAAAAAAAUACAAUCACUAACUUAUUAUUGUAUUUUUUUGAAAAAAAAUUGUUAUUGUGUUAAGUGUAAUUGAGGAUUUAGUGUAAAUGUAUUAGUAAAUUUAAUAUAACUAAUUAAUAAUUUCUAUUAGUAGACAUGUAUAAUUAUUAGUAUAAUUGAUAAUAUCAAUUAUAUUACAUAUGCUUAUAUAUAUAUAUUAUAUAAUACUUAUAACUAAUAAUAUCAUUAUUAUAAGUUUGAAACUAAUUAAAUUAAAUGCUAUAUAUAUACAUAUAAAUAUAUAUAUAUAUAUAUAUAUAUUAACGGGUGGCGGGGCAGGGGUCCUUAACGGGGGAAAAUCCCCCCGCCCCAACCCCCAUCCCCUUAUCCCCCAUGGCGCGCAUCUGUCCCAAUUGCCGUUCCUAUUUUUGGGAGGCCCUGAACUAUUCACUUUACAUGGUUUUGGUCCCUAAAUUACAAGUUAUCACAAAUAAACCCAUAAACAAAAAAAAUGCUUAGUUUAAGGAUUUCCGUCAAAUUUGAGUGUUAAAUGUAACGGAGCUAGGGGCAAAACCAAUCAAAAAGAAAAACCAACCCAUGAUUUGAUUAAAAACCUACUAUAUUAAGCCAACUGAUAACGUGAAAUUUAAUGGUUUAUCAUCUUCUUUCAUCUUUCACCUUUUCUAGCCUUAAUUUGAUGAAAUAAUCAGUUACUAGACUUUUUAGACUAUUUUGUGGGUUUUUUUUUUUUGGUUGGUUUUGUUCCUAAUUCGGUCACAUCUAAUGGCCAAAAUUAAUGAAAAUCCUUAAACUAAGCAUUUUUUUUUGUUAAGGACUUAUUUGUGACAAUUUAUAGUUGAAAGGCAAAAACCAUGCAAAGACAAUAGAUUAGGGACUGUCCGAAAAACUUCCUCUUUUUAAUAUGUUUUCCAACCAUCUUAUAUUUUGUAUACAUCACUGUCAUUACAGCACAAAAGUGUCAUAAUAAACAAUACCAAAAAAUUUCCCAAAUGGCUUGCAACCCAUACAUAAUAUAACAAGGAGCAGUCGUAGACAGAACGUAAUGGUGGUACCUUUUGAUUUUGAAUUUUGGGCAAAUUUCUAAGUGUCAAUAAGGGUGUCUUUGGGGCUGUCAAGUAACAGUUGAAAAUCAAGAAAUGAGUACCUAAUAGAGUAUAAAAUUGAUUGGUUUUCGACAUUACAGAAUUCAAUUCAGGAGUCUUUGAGUUUUGACAUGAUGAAAAUUGAAGAAGGGGCUCAUGUUGUAGGGUCUGCCGUUUGUCCCAAGAAUCGAUCUUCUCCACACAAAAAUGAAAACACAGCAAUAGCCAUAUGCAUGGCGGCAUUCCUCCAUACUUCUCUUUCAGCGUUAGUCAAUCCCACGUAAUAAUUCAUAGUGCCACCAAAGCCGCCUCCCCACCACUUCUUGCUCUUGGUGCUAACACCCUUGCACACACGCAUGGUGGGCAAUGGCGCACACAAUACAUAUACAUAUAUAUAUAUAUAUAUAUAUAUAUAUAUAUAUAUAUAUAUAUAUAUAUAACAAUAUUUGGGGGAAUUAUUUGAGGUGGAUUUUAAAAUAAAAUGCUAGUUAAAUAUUACUUGUUCUGAAAUUUUUAUAGAAAGGAAAGUGCAAAAAGAGGAAAGAUGUAGGGAGAAGCGAAAGGGACUAAAAAUGGUGUGACUCGGACUUUUGUUCUAUGGCAACUAUGGAAAACCUUUAGUCUAGGAUAAUUUUUUAAUGUAAAUCGCUGCACUUGAUUUUCAAUAAGAAACACUUCUUAAUCUAUACGUUAAUUUAGAGGCUUUCUUAAAGAACAAAUAAAAUGAAUUCCAAUCAUUCAAUUGGUGGCCCCAAAAUGGUACUUUUUUUUUGGAAUAAAGGAGUCUUGUAACAUUGAUUAGUUACUUAUGAAUUGUGGGGGAUGGGGUCAAGUUUAGAACUAUAUGGAAACAGCCACACUGUCUAGUAGUUUUUUUGUAUAGUGCUUCACAUGUGGGUUGGUCACUAAGAUAAGACUAUCAACUUGUGAGUUGUGAGGCCUGAAAAAAAAGAACUCUUUUUGUAUGGAGAUCUUGAUCAGGGAAAUGAGGAACAGAAUCCACUUGGGGGUUUGCCCAAAAUGAAGAUUUCCACCCAAAUUUAAGUUUGGCCAGAGUACCAAAGAUCACGUUAAUGUAAUCUACAAUUAUAGAGAAGUCACGAAGCUUUUAGAACUAGGUUAACCUCUCCAAUCCACUUUUGAAGUUAUAGAUCAUGUUUUGGUAUAUAUCAAUUAGUCAAUAACAUUAUUGUCAAGCCUAAUCUUGCAUGCAAAAUCUAUCAACAACAAAUACAAUGCUCAAUCAUUGAAAGGUUAGUACAAUACCGAAAAAAAAUAAUUAAGGCCAAAUUAAUCCAAAUAUUUCAUAAUUUCUCAAAUUAAUCCAAAAGGAAAUGGUGCAUGUCUCAAAUUCAAGGCUAAAGAACUAGAUAUUUUGCUCUUAGACCUACCAAGUAACAGCUUUGUUAGGAUUGCAUUUUUCUAGAUUUUUUCGUAGAAAAAUUACUGUAAUGAUUUGAUUUAUGUGAGGUAAAAAGGUGAUUGUGAAAUGUGUUCAUGGAAAACAUAGCAAUCUUUCUUUGAAAAAUUACUGUCCAAACAAGGCUAACUUGGUAAGCCUAAGAGCAAAAUAUCUAGUUCUUUAGAACUUGAAUUUGAGACAUGCACCAUUUCUUUUUUACUGUCUACGAUUUAUUUAAAGCUUUUGUCACAUUUGAAUGGUGAUGACAGAUAUUGCUUCUAAAGCAAGUAGGGCAACUUUGGCCACAUGUAAUUUGUAACAUUCAUUUGUUGUCUUCUUGCAACGUCAAGUCAUCCAGCCAUCUUGAUCGUAAUUGAUAGCACCCUCUAACAUAGUGGAUUGGCUAAAACAAGAAAUCUUGACUGCAAUUGAUAGCAUCCUAUAAUAAACGUACCAAACUUACUUUACCAAGUAACGAAUUGGGUGUUUUAGAAGCCAAAAGGAUAAUGGAUUAGGUUCCAAGAAUCACUUUUUUAUCUCUAUUUUGUCCCCUCUCACCCUUACUUUCUAUCCUCUCCCUAUUGAAGUUUUUUAACUACUUUUUUGGUUAUACAUGGAGGACUACAGUAAAGAAUGAGAGGGGAACGCUAAGAGCCCAUUUAAAUUACUAUUUUUUUUAAUUUUUAUAAAAAAUGUACCGUAACAAUUUAAUAUUUAUAAAGUAAAAAAAAUAAUUAAAAAGUAUAAAAGUUCUGACCUAAUUCUGACCCGCAACACGACUAAAACGACCCUGAAUACAACCAGUCCAGAAUCUGAAUGAAGCUACUUCUUGUUUUGUUUAUCUGUGCCAAAGAAGGAAAAAAUCUCAUUACGUCUCGAUUGUGUCCCUUUUUUGUACUAAAAAAUCGUUUGCUAAAAAUGUUUCCACAAAGCUUUCGGGGGUGGGGUAUACUAUGCAACCUAGGGUUGUCUAGGUCACAAGCUUUUCUUCUUUUUCAUUGUCUCUGUGUAAAAGUAAACAAGCUACUCCUUUUAAAUGGUAAAACGCUGGAAUGUAUAAAACAGGAAAUUUUCAAUAGCUUUUCUGUCCUGAAUAAUCUGGUUUAACAGUUAUCCUACCGUCCAACUUCUGUGAGGAGCUGGAUCCAACCUCAACUAGGAAUUUCUUUCCUGGAUCAGAAUGGCAUCCAACCAUCAUUUUCCCCCAGUUUCCUAAUGGAUAAAACAUAGUGGCGGCCUCAGUAUUCAUGAAACUUGAAUUGUAAAUAAAGAUUAAUAAAUUAACUGCAAAUUUACAGGCAGCCACAGACCAGACAAUCAAGGGAUUUACCAUUAGAAGCCAUUCAUUCAUUCAUUCAUUCAUAAAACUGGGUUUUCUGCAAAUCAUAUGAUAGUAAAGACCAUUAAAUGGAAGAUUUCCCCUUCUAUACAUAACUAACUUAAACCCUAUUAUACUCUUUUAAGGCGAAACAUCUCCGCUGGCCAUUAUUUACACUCUUUUAACACAUUGUCAGCUUCCAUUUGCUGCAGGUGGAAACCAAAUAGUACGAACUAAGGCAAUCUUAUUUACGGCAGCAGCACAUUUAGACAAGCUCCCACUCAGUUUCAGAACUAUGAACUGGAAAUGACUUGGUGUUAGACUCUGCAGGACGAUCGGUCAUUGCUCUCUCUGCACCCUCUUGAUUUGAGUUUUGCUCGGUGUAUCUCGCUGCAAGCUGCUCAUAUUCCUUCUUUUUUAACCUCAUCCUGGAGGAGAAAGCUUCGCGCAAUUUUUUCUACAAGAAGAAAUUUGUCCAGUCAGGGAAGAAAAGUUCACACAAGAAAUCCUUCAACUCUAACAGAUGAGAGAGAGAGAGAGAACCUUGUAGGAUUUGUGAUUGCCCUUCCCUUGAGGUAAAAAAUGAAGCUCAUCCCCCUCCACCAAGACACAUGUUUCCCCUAAUUUUGACUCAUCAAACGGCUCAAUAAUUUCCACAUCCGGGUCCACAGUAUCAUCAUUCUUGGCUGCAUUUACACUAUAGUCAUCCAAUCUUUCUGUCAAGCAUAGAGAAAGAACAAUAUUAGCAAAAGCAGAGACCUACUGAGGAAGAGGCAGGAAAGUCACUGGUACAUAAAUUUGGUGCCUAGGUUGCGUCAGCCCAUACUGUGCUUGGACAAGAUUUUUUUUUAUUGUAUCAUAAACACGUCUUCCAAUUACUUUGUUUAUAUCAAAUCACAAAAAGUGCUACAGUUAUCCUAAAAUUUUUUUCAUGAUCUUGCCUAUCCAAUUUUCUGGGGGAGAGAGAGAUAGAGAUCAUGAGAUUAUAUGAUUGUUUGUCGUGAAAAAUUUUCAGCCAAAAUGCACAAUAUAGCAGGAGUCCAAGUUCAGUCUCCACGUUGAGAAGACAACAGGUAAUCCCAUCUAGUAAUGCCAUAAUUGACUUCACUUUAGGUAAAAAUUGAUGCACUUCAUCUCACUUUGCCUAGAUGCAAGUCCUAGAAUGACUUAUAGAAAUGAUCCUCUCACACAAAGUUUAACCCUUUUCUGGACGCAAUAGACCGAGACCUUUAAUGAUUGAAUUACAUUCCAUCACUUGGAACUCGACUUUCCAAUAACUUAGCCAUAAGAAAGGUUGGAAUACAAUUUGGUUUUAUUAAUACCUUGGUGGGCCAUGAAGACCUCCUCCUCAACAGAUUUUAUGCUGUCUGUUCCAGUUGCAAUUGUCUUCUGAGUCUGGGAAACCACUGUGCUGUUUGUACAUGUGCCUACAGCUAAAGCAGCAGUUAGGGUGCGUCAAAUGCAGAAAUCAUAAUGAAAUAAGUGAAAGGACAAAACUGAAUCCAGUUUUAGAUGAUACCAGAGGACUCUGAUGAUAAGCCAUCAGAAGGAGAAUCAGCUUGCUUCUGCUCAGCUGAUACAACUGACACAAUUGUUUUAGCAGCGGUAGCUGGUGAAUUAAAUGAAGCACGAGACAUAGGCAGACUGGUAUCAUCCAUAGGUUUACAAAGCUUCUCAUUUGCAAUUCUGGAGCGUUCUUCAGCGCCAGCUGGUGGCGAUAAGACAUCAACACAGCCAGAGGCCAUUUGACAACUCUUUUUCAUUUGAGAAAAUGAGGACAGGUUUCUUAAAUUCUCUGAAAAUGGUGCAACUGGCCCAGUCACAGGUGGCAUAAAAUUUACCAUAGAAUUGCUUUUCCUACUGGCUACCGGACGUCUGUAAAGUCCGGUUUUACUUUUACCUGUAUGCACCAAGAGUAAGAGCUAUAACUUUCACCGUGAUGGAAAAGAAUGAAAAGAACCCUAUUCCGCCAAAAUUUUGAAAAAGAACAGAAAGUUCAAAUCUUUACCAGAAAUUACUUUAGACUCAUCACUUAAUUUCCAAUUGGUAUCUCUACCAUCUUUUUUAGCAUUUGCUUUCAGUAUCAUUUUGGAGUGAGCAUAAGGAUUCAAUGACAAGUCAGCAGCAGCCACUUUCACAGGAUCAACAUAUGAAUCUGAGUGCAAAUCUUUCAUCACUUCUGAAUAGAACCUCUUAACACUAGCACCAACAGUCUGGACCUGAUUUUCAACAUAUUUGACAGCAUCCUGUCAAAAAUUAAACCACUUAAAAUAAAAACACCCACACUUUGAGACUACAUACACUUAGAUUCGAUAAGACCUCCCAAGGCAAAGCACGCAUAGCACAUUAUUAGAUAAUCAAAUCAGUAAUUUUGUCUGUGAAAACCACCACUAACCAACUUCAUAAUGUAUCACCAAAAGCAAAGAUAAGAACAUAAGUGGCACCAGAGAUUACUUUAGAAUAGAAAAGAUAACUUGUAUUCACCACAAGUAAGGGCAUCUACCUCAUACAUAACCUCUUCCAUCUCCAGACACAUAGCUUCAAACUUGUCAUAUAUGUUUCCAAUCCAUGCUAAACCUUUUAAGUCCAUCAUGCAGUUACUUCAGCACGUCAAGGCUUUAAUGCUCAGCUGCAAAAUUCAACAAAGGACUUUUGUAAGAUUUACAGCAAGAGCUUGCCUAAUAGCAAGAAGCCAUCGGGUACUAAGACACAGUUUAUUAAUUAUUAUAGCAGCAUCCAUUGCAAAUUUGCUACCAAGUGACAAAACAGUAUACAAGCUGAUCAUCAAAAUUGAGCAUAAUCAUUAUAGCAUAAUGAACUCAAUCAGUCAACAAUUUUAGCCCUCUGAGUCAUAGUUCCAGUAAAUGUUCUUUAGUCCUACAAUGUACAGUUCCCUGAUGCUCAAUAACAUAAGUAGAAGGGUUGCAAGAACAAACUAGGAACCAACAUUCUAGCUAAAAUGGGGUAGAAAAAGUCCACCAAAAUACAUUUCAGGCAGAGGGCUAGAAAGAUUCAUGCACAACAAAGGUAUGGAAUAAUAUCAAGGUUGGUUGAAUGUUUGUGAUAAAAAUUCUUAGUAGUUCAACCUGAUGCAUUGUUCUAAGCUGCAUAUUCACAAUCUACAUGUAAAGAGAAAUUAAAAUUUAGAAAAAAGAGUAAUUUCAUCUAAGCAAAUCCUCCAAAUAUCCAUCAGAAAUAUAUCAUCAAUAACAUAUAAUUCGAGCAGUAAACCAGAGGAAAGAAAAUUUUCAGGGAAAAAUAGUUUUGGUAAAUGGUUAGCUGAGACAUCAAAGGAAAGAUCCUACACAUACGAAGAAGGAUGCUAGAUUCCUAAUUCAUAUUGCAAAAGCCCUCUCCAACUCAUGCCUGUCAAUCUCAACAGCAGAGGGCCUCUAAGGUAAUUAUGAAUUAAGACCUUCAAAAGUCAAGCAUUUUUACUAACUUCAUAUAAUUCCCAAAAAGCAAACAGAAUAUAGAGAUUUUCACAGCAUUCAUGGUGCAGAUUUUUUUUUUUUUGCAGAGAAUAUGACUGAAAUCUUUGCAGAAGAAGAAAGCAUAAACCUAAACUGUAGAAUUUGCAGCCAAUCUUUGGCUAAUUUGAAUCAUUCAUAACAACUACAAUUUUAUAAGCUAGUACUUUCCAAUGCUAUCAAUAGUAGGCUUCAUCAAGCAUGACUAAACAUGGAAGCAUCAGAAUGAAGAGUUCAAUUAGUCAGCAUAAUUAACUAGGGUUUAUCUUACUGCUUUCAAUUGGAAAUAAGACAGCUAUUCCCGAGGAUCUGGAACUACUCUAGUUGUUGGAUGUUUUUCUAGAGAACAAGACAAUUAUAUUUAUUUGCACGACCCCCUAAGCCAAAAACCCUAUCCUCAAAUAGACCAACUCCACAUUGAUCUGUCAAUUUCAGGAUAGACAGACGUGCUUGAGCUUCACAAUCACCAGUUUAAAUAAGGAAUUGAAAAGAAAGAAACUAGAGAUCAAGUUCAUCACCCAGCAAACAGAAUGGCCUAAAGUUGAUUCGUCAGAUUCUACAUCUUAAACACUAAAUUCCUGUACACUGCCCCCAUAUCUAUAAAUCUAACUAGACAGGUACUCAAUCAAAUAAACGAAACUGCAGGAUAUGAUGGUAUGCACAUAAGAUAACAGUAAGCAAAAUGAGGCUUUCUUCCGGUGAUGCUGCAACCCAUGACAAAGAAGAAACCCCAUAACACAUUACUUUGGCGUAUAAAAUUGGAAAUUUGAUGUCGCCUUGCAUAACAAACCUUCACCUUCUAUUAGGAAAUAUUGUCAGAAAAUUCUUUCCCUAGAUUAGAAUAUACUACUACUUCUUUCCACAUACAAGGAAUAAUUUGAUGCUUUCCAUGUUUCAGAAAAAAGUCAAUCUUUAUGCUUUCCCAUAAUCAUGUUCGUCUAAACCACCCUUAAACCCAAAUCUCCCCCGAAACUAUUCCAAACCCAUCGAUUAAUUCAUCAAACACAAGCAAGCAAACAUCCUAAAGCCACAAAAACCAGACAAAGAAAAACCCACCAGACCACAAACUUAUCAGUCAUCACAUGAUCAUGGCCACUCUCUCCCCCAAACCAACACCCCCCCCCUUCACCUUCUUCGUCCCUAGCUUCCGAAACCAUCCAAAUUUACAAAACAAAAAAAGGUACAGGAACCACAUAGCAACAGCUAAACAGCAGCUUCGACACGAAAAAAAAAAACAAUUUUAUAGUCGUAAACUCAAAAUUUUUACCAGAAGAAAUUACAGAAACACAAAAAAAAAAAGGAUAACCUGAUCAGAAGUUAGAAAUACGAGUUCAAAAAAGGAAAAAGAAUCCAAAAAAGGACAUACACAUGCUAGAUAUUUUAGAAACAUGCGAUUAAAGAAAGUGGUGAUGAUGAAUAAAGUUAAAGCAGCACACUUACAUACUUGGGGAAUACAGGGAGGCCCAGAAAGGAAAAAAGUAAUCUUUCUCUCUCACUUCUUUUUUUUUUCGGAAGAUAAUUAGGAAAGAUAAGCCAAGAAAAAGGUUAAGUUUUUAGCUUUGAAGAAAGAGAUGAUAAAUUGAAGUAUUAGUAAUAGGUCGUAACUUGGAACAGAGGUAUCACUAACAUAAAAUAGGGUAAGAGAAAGAUAAGUUUAAUUGAGUAGGAGAAUUAGAAACGUAUAGGUGGAGCUCACCUGGUUUCCUUGGGUAUGGGUUCUUGACACGUGUAUUCCUAGAAUAUACUUAAAGGUAAAAUGCUACCAACCUAAAACAUCUAUAUAUAUAUAUAUAUAUUAUAGUAAAGACUAAAGAAGGGCGAAUUUAAGAAGCGAGGAGGAGUCAGGGGAUCAAAAUUUCUACAUUUUAUGGUUUCAAUUUGAGUCAUUAGACUAAAAAAUUUAAAUACCUAGUAAGUCAUUAUUCUAAAAAUAUUUGGGUUUCUUUUUAUUAAUAUAAAUGUCAGUAUUGUCUUUUUUGCAUACUAAUAUUGUGGAAAAGAAUAAAAUUACAAUACAUGUUGGCUUUCUUUUACUUUUUCUUGUUAAUUCAAGAGUAGUUGUUCUUUUUGGGGCUAAAUAAUAUUCAUGGAAUAAACAUGUUGUGUUAUUGUGUUUUUUUUUUUAGAGUGUAAUCUAUCCAAAAUUACAAUUUUUUUUAAUUUUUGACAAGAUUAGGAUUGUAUUGUUCUAUUUACAUAGAGCAUAUUUUAUCUUUCAAAAUAGUAGUGAAGUUACCUAUGAUGUUUAGUGGAAUCACAACUUCUUGCAACUAAUUCCAUCUCGAAUUCCUUAUUCCUAAGAGUUUUUGCAACAAAACUUAAGAAAUUAAGUGAAAAAUUGCUUUUGAAAGAAGCGAAUUUGACCCCAAGAAAAAAGCAAAAAAAAAAAAGAAGAAGGGAAUUUGACCCAAAUAAGUGUCCCUCAAAAUAUAAGAAUCAGAAUUCAUUGCCAAGAAAAUUCUGCUUAUAGCGAUGCCCACUUACAAAGGAUCAACUACAAGGUCCCUGAGUCCAUGAUGUGAGAACCCUCAAAGUCCAACUCACUUUCUUUAACUUUUUGCCCUGUCUAUUCAAGGGUUGGUAAAUUAUCGUCAAACCGAAGGUAAUACAGAUUACUUGUAAUUGUAGCCCUUGUAAGAUUUACACUUUUAAGCUUUGCCUAGGCUACCAAUAAAUUUGACAAGAAAAAAAAAAGGAACAAGAAGAAGAAGAAACUUAGAUGGCACCCAAGUCAAUAGGCCGACUAAUGAUGUGGAAAUAAUGAAUGCUUUUGUCCCUUGACCUAUUAUCCAGCUUCCACUACUGUUUUCUCGACUGCCACCAGAAGUUUGAAGAAUUUCAUUACAAUUUCCAUCCUCCUACAAGCAUAGCGUCAAUACAGUUUCCUGUCACUAAUUCUUGGCGAAAAUCCGUUUUCUUUCAUUUUCAACCUUUUGGACAAAAUCCAAUCUGGAAGAGAUAAAGAAACUAUGAUACUUGACGUUUUCAGAUGGAACGUAUCCAUGAGAAUUAUGUUUGGAUAAAAUUCGCCUAGCAAGAAUCUAAGGAUAAGAUAAUGAUAACCAAUCUUGUAGACUUCAAUUUCCAAGGGAUCAUAUUUAUCGGAAAAAAAAUGAUAAAUGCAAAUAUGAUACAGAAGAACAGAUGAAGCAAAACCAAGAAAUAUAUACGAGAAUACAUUCAACAGAAAAGAUCAAAUCCAAACUUAAGAGAAACAAAGUGGUAUUAUAUUUCAAUGUCAACCAGCAGCUUGAAAAUCCCCAAAGUCAUCAUCUGGAAUGUCUUGUGUGUUUUGGUCUUCUGGAGGUUCUAAUUCUUUAGAUUGUUCUUGAGGUGAGACAGAGUCCUCUGCUGCUGAAGAUUCCUUUAGACUGAGUUUUGAAGGCAGCUCUGAUGGAGAUGUUUUAGGACUCACAACGGGCGAUAAUGGUGCUGGUGGUGGUUUGAUAGAUAUCACGGGCUCCUUUUUACUACCCUUCUCCUCCAAUGAGAGAUCAUUUAAGCCCUGUUCAAAAAACUUGGACCCAGAACUCCGACCACUUUUCUGUUGAUAAAAAGAGGGCUUAAACAAUAUUACAUGAUGGAGGGACAAAUUUACGUACCAAUUAACUCCUUCAAUGUUUGGAGAACUUACAUUUUUUAUCUGAAGUACAAGUUUUUCUCCUUCUUUUAAACUGUAAUCAACUGAUGAAGUAUGCUGAUGUUGCUGUUCCAUUUCUUCUGCAGUUUUCUUCUUGUUUAGGUACCUUUUAACAGAAAAAGCAGGCUAAAUUUGGUUAGCGUACGCAUGCAUGGGGAGGAUUAAACAAAGCUACUUUCAAGCCUUGUAAAAGUACAGAAAAUCAUGGUACUGUUCGCAAGAAUGCAGAGGAUUACUUCAUAUGGUCAUGCAGGGCAGCUUGGAAAUCAUAAGCUUCGGGUCUUUCUCGAAAUCCUAUGCCGAUGAAAGCAUGUCGAAGUCGACCUCCUGCAAAGAAUGAACAAUCCUUUGCAUGAUCUUUAUGGGCAGAUUUUCUUAAAAUUGAAAUUAUUUAAGGAAUCAUAUUAUAAGUCAAGUGCAUUUUGACCUCAUAGGCAAGCAGCCAAUGCCCUUAGAGAUUCGUGUGCUACUAUGCAAAGGAUCUAUUUAUGCUCCUACCAGUUAACAUGACCACCUUAUAUUAAUUCAGCAUCAUGUGCUUAUAAGAUCUGUACCAUUUUGAAGUAUAUUGGAGAAGAAAGUUCAUGCCUAAUAGCUAAAACCAAUUGCAGAUGUAAACACAAUUGAAUAUCGUACAGAACUAUUUGAACAAGAAAAGAAAAGAGAAAGAAAGGCUUCCUUGAUGUACAAUUAAAUUCUUAUCUACCACUUUAGUUUAUUCGAAAAUAUUAUCUACAUUCAUCAAGUCGAAUAUCUUGUAAUUCGUGAAAAAGAUUACGAGUUAGCAUGGAAAUGAUGUAGAACAAGAUAAGAAAAUCCUGGCCAUACAUUACCUUAACUUUAUCUACAAGGUACUAACUUAAAUUGAAGUUCAUUUAUUAUCAACUAAAUGAAAAUAUUUUGCAAAGUCAACCAUGACAUUUCCUAUGAAACCCAUUCGCUUUCUUAAAAAACCAUAUUCUGACUUCACAAUUCUUGAACUUAAACAAUUAUAUUUAAACUUGGGAUGCGAUUAAACUACUCUAUUCUUGUACUUAAUAAUGCUUCUUAUUUAAAUGAUUUAACAUCAAAACCGAAGAAGUGGACUAAAGAAAGCUCAACCUAGGGAGGAGAAGUCGUAUGACAAGAGAAUACAGGAGAACCAUUUAUGGUAUUCUAAUUUUCCAACAGAAGAAAAGUGAUACUCUACAGGAUUUGGAAUUUAAAAGAAUAAGAAAGAUAGAUUACCAAUGUUUUCUUCGACCCGCACAACAAAAUAUCUGCAGAAGAAUGUGAGAUAUAUCAAGCAAGUUAGUACAGAAUGAUUUCUGAAUUAUCCAAGUCAGUGAGAUUAAUGAAUCCCAAGUCCAAGUUCAAAAAAUCAAUCAGUAUGCUCUCAUUAUCCAAUAUUUUACUGCAUUUCACUACUUCACAGGGCAAACAUUAAAAAAAAGAAAAAAAAAACUGGUAAAAGCAUAACUGAUGGCAUCCAGCGGACAAUCACCAAAAGCAGAUCUUUUGCAUACACCCCCAAAAUGGUGCUACAAGUUGCCUGCUACUAACUUAGAGCAAUAAUAAAUUUGUUGUAAGAGGGAGUUGAAAGAGAUGAUGUUGGUGACAAGUUAUCUAAACCUGCUGCUGUCAAUCACAGGCUCCACAGGAUGGGGCUCUCCAUCUCUUAGAAAUGCCCGAGCAUACAAUUCACCUAUUUGGAAAACAACAAUUUUCAGCAAAUCAUUACUGAUGGACAAAAUUGAUUUCAUUUGCACAACCUUUUCCUAUUUGGUAGCAACUAAACAACAAAAAGCUACCUGUUGUCUUAUCUUCAAGUCUGAUAAUGCAUUCCUCUCCUUUGCUAAUAACUUUUAAAGCACCCUCCCAUGCCCAUUUAUUGACAUUCCACUCAUCAGCCCUACGAAGAGCAAGAAGUCAAUUAGCAAAAUAGAAUCCAGGAAGCAUAUUUAUAUAUUUCCUGACUUUGACAUGACUCAGGUCGCACGAAUCAGGAACAACAUCAAAAACUUUCAUGUUAAGUAUAAAACUCUGCAUGAAAUGCAAAAUGGGUCCUAAAGGAUCUAACUCUCCAGCACCGGAUUAGAUCUAGCAACCCAGUAAUCUGGCAAGAUAUGACCAGAAUAACUCAUAUUUGAGUCUAUCCCUCAAAUGACAAAAAAAUUGGUCCAUACCCCUACAAGCACCUUAGUAAUCAGUCAUAAAAUUUUUGGAAUAAGUUUGUCCAUCCAAACCUUUUUGAAAUCUCCAAUGAUGGACUACAUUUUUACUUUCUUGGCAGAAUAUUAAUCAAACCAAUGCAUGAAAAUUUUCACUAUUUGCUUCAGCUUUCUAUAACAGUAACACAACAUGUAUCUCUUCCAGGGGUAAGACAAAUGCAAUCACAGUCAAGAUAAAUGCAAAAAGCUGAAGAAAAUUUUAUGGACAUAUUACUAGGACUCAAACCUAGGCUAAAACAUCAAACUGAAGUUACAUCUCUCUCUCUCUCUCUCUCGGUGUUGCAAAAGAAGAUACCAUAGAGAAACAAUAAGACCUAUUCCUAUAAACAAAAGUCAUAUUCAAAAGAGAUCACUCAGAAAUACCUGUAAGAAGCUGCACUUUUUCUUGGAGGGAUCUGUGGAGAGAAUAAACAAGAUUAAGUUUAAACUGAUGGUGGAGUUAAUUACACUCAAAUUUAUAGAGGAUAGAACACUGAUGCAACAUGGCAGGAGCAUCCUCUAUGCAUCUCAUUUUUGUCUUGCUAUUAGAUAUCUGGACUAUGAUACGAUCAUGAUCUACCAAAUCUUCACACUACAAGGAUCAUCACCUACUUAACAGUGACAAAGAAGAUUUAAUCAUAGAUGCACGAUGACAGAGAGAACCUUUUGUUCAAUAAACACUUCCUGAACUAUAUCCUCCAACAAAGAUACCUCUAUGCAAUCCAAUUUCCACACUGAGGAGGUGCUUUACUUGUAUCAAAACAACAAAUGGCUGGACCUAACGUCUAAGACAGCAAAGAAUUUUCUGAGCACAAUUAUGAACUGCUUCUACAGGAGUACCAUACAGUUCUAAAGUAACAAUUACGUUCAAAUCACUAAAUAACAGGAAAACCAAAAACAUUCCUUCUCAUGGACCAACAAAUAGGAAAUUGUACUUUGCCCUAACAAACGGCAUUCAUCAGAAUAUACCUUUGCAAAAAAAAAAUGAAAAACGGCCAGUUUUCCCUUACUAUAUCACAUCCUCAUGAGUAUAUGUAAGUUAUACAGAAAGCAUAUACAUUUAACUUCUGGAAAUUAAUACAUCAAUCUUUUGCUCAUCAAGCAUUUAGUUUCACAACUUUGCAAACCACAGUACAGCAGCACCUAAAAAACUGGGCAUUAUUGAACUAGAUUGAUUAAAAUCUAACACAGAUAAAUACAUUACAUAGCAAUUCACAAAAAUAGUCACGGAAAGACAAAGCAUUAAUCUCAAAAAAUUCACCAUUCAACGAUACAAUCUAAAUAAAUGGCGCCUGCAUUGAAGUAAUUUCAACAAUUCAAAUCUAAAAAACCAAACUAAACGUCAGUUGAAGAAAAACAUUUUUUUUACACAAAAAAUGACUAAACCCACAAUUUAUAUAUAUAUAUAUAUAUAUAUAUAUAUAUUUUGGUAAGCUAAACCCAUAAAAUAUGCUAUCAAGCAGAUAUAAAAAUUGACCCCAAUUCGUUACCUGUAAUCGAACCAACACAAGUUCAUAACUUUAUACUACAAACAGCACAAAAUCACUAAUUCUCCAAAACCCUUUUCAGUAAGUAACUCAAAAAUGGAAACUUUAUACUCUUUUCAGCAAAAAUUAAGGAAAAAGGGAUUGGCAAAUAGAGAGAGGGAGUACCAAAUAGACGUAGCAUUCUGAGACUUGGAAGAGAAUCAGCUCAAUAGCUUCUUCAAUUUCUUCUUUUUCAUCUGUUUUCUUUUCUUUCUCCAUUGAUGUGAUUGCUAUUCGAAAAGGAAUUUCUCACGGGAAUGAGAAAUUAAUGCAAGCAAAAAGCGCGUUGUUUUCUUUCCCCCCCUGUAAUUUAACUGCGCUGAAGUUCUUGACUGUUUCGCUUCCAAUCUGGAAUUGGCAAAAUGUGUCUGGGGAAAAAGAAUUUUAGGGGUAGGCUGGGAAUUUGGAAAACAAGAAGGUUGGUGACUAAUAUUAAAAAUUUUAUUACAAAAUAGGAUACCGGAGUUGAUGGGACUAUCCAAUUCUGAUAGACUAGUUUACUUCGAUUUGAUUGUGAUUAUUGUGGACCGUAGGUUUGAAGCAUUCUGUAGGCUUUCGGCCGUCUGAUUCUUUGACUAUGGAAGUCAACCAGUUGUUGAUCAUGAGUUGGUAUGGUGGUUUGCUUGAUUUAUAAGCAAAGGAGAUCCAGCAAAGUCCUUAUGAUUAUCUGAAUUUAGGUGAGAUUAGAUACAGGGAAAGAAAAAAGAAAAGAAAAGAAAUCAGAUUUAUGUAUGAAUAAUUUGGAUAGGAAUUAAAAUAGAUAAUGAAUUUUUUUUACUAAAAAAAAAAAGUUGAAAAUUUCCUAUCAUACAUGCAUGGUCAUCAAAAUAGAAAGAAGUUUGAGGGUGUGUACAUGAAGAAAAUUGAGGUCGAAACCCGGAAGUCUCGUCCACUCUUAUAACUUACAAGAAAGUCAAGGUAUUAUUCCAAAGUUGGUAGAGAAUAUCCGGAUAUUUGCCAUCUCUUUUGCAAUAACAUUAGCCAUUUGUUCACCUAGAAAACAACUUACUACUACUAUAUGUUAUGAUUUAGUAGAUCAAGAUGAAAAUUGUCGAACACAAAAAUGGUAUUAGAGGUUCCUGCUAUCAACAUAUGUGGUGUAUAGUUUGGACUUUGGUAUAUAGUUUCAGAUUGAAUAGAAAUACAGGGCCUAGCUUUUGCUUAGCAGUCUUUUUGCUUUUAAUAACUAUUGGCAGUAUGAUCAGUUGAGAAUUUGCUGCUUCUUCAGAGCUGAAGAAGUUCGGGAAAACAUUAGCAGCUAAGUAUAAUCGGUCGAUGAGUAAAAAUGUACAAAAAUCACCUUAGAGGUUCCUGCUAUCAACUUGCAAUGAAGAGCAUAAGGGUGUAGUUCACAGACCAGAGGCUGCAUUGGAGCAACAGUUGCUCCAUGCUAACUCUUUUCAGCACAACUCAACCAAGACAGUGAUUUUGGUGACUUUUCGUGCUUGUUUGUAACAAGAAAUGGAUCCAUUUCCUUCUGACACGAUUUCAAAAGUUCAAAUUCCUAUAUAGCCUAUGGAUUUACAGAUAAAUUUCCUUAGGAGCACAGCUGAGAUGCUGACUUAGUAUGCUGCCAAAAAAUGAUUCCUCAACGCGAACAUUUAGUACAUGAACUCUGUAGAUACGAACUCCAAUUGGUAACGCUAAUGAUGAGACGGUUUGAGGGUGAUGCUAGUAAGGCACAGUUGCAGUCACUGUCCUGUGCCUUGGAUCCGUGAGAACCGUAUUUACAUUGAUAAAGCCUGCUUCUCUCAUUACUCUUUCAAGAUCUGUCAAAUAAUACUCAUCCAGGAAUGGUUCAGUACUCUUCAUUAGCGUAAAUAGCACCGGUGAUAAUUCCUGAGACAUGUAUAAGGACAAUCUAGUUCAGCAGCGUGGCUAGGAAAACCACAUUAUACCAGUCAUCUUGAGAAUUUUUGCAGAGCAGGAGAUGGUAGGGAACAGAAACACCUAUGAACUAACGCUUUCAUGGUCAAAGUUAUAUGAAUCUAAGAUGUUGCUCUGUAUUAUAUAUCUGUAUUGCAUAUAUUACAAUGUUGUCUCCUAUUUCAACAUGUGCAGAAAUUUUGAACAUGUAGUGCUAUUAGUUUGCUCAAUCGCACAAACUGUAGGCAGAGAAAAGGAAUAGGAGAAGAGAACUUGCCUGAAGAAUCUUUGAUUUUGGCUGCAAAAAGGAAACAAGUGUUUAUCAGAUUGAAAUGAUCCUUUGGUAAAUAUACAAUUCAAAACCUCAGGAGUUAUAUUAUUUACCGAGUUGUCUGUGAUUGCAAAAGUUCCUCCAGGUCGAAGCAGUCGAAGGGCUUCUCUCACCAUAUUUUUUAUCGCUCUUUCAGGGCAUUCAUGGAACUGUAACAGCUCAAAUGAUUGAGACUCUGAAUCAUAGCAUUAUUAUUUCAAAGAGUUACCGGAAAAAAGAGCAUGGCACGCACUUAAAAUUCUAAAGGUGCAACCAUGGGCAAGAGUACUACAGCAGCUGCCUAGGCAAAACUUGUGGAGGCUUAUACACCAAAGAAUGUUUUGUCAAUUUUCAUGCAACAUGCUUCUUGCGUGAAAAUUGAGCAAGUGAAGAUGCUAUUCUUCAUUUGGUACUUUAUCCAUGACAUUGUAAGGUGGGCGGAUUACAGCCCAAACUUCUAAAAGUAGAAAGAGCCACAACAUGUUAUAAAAGAGUUUUCUCCUAAAAUGUUCAGUUUUAGGAAGAACAACAUGACUCUCUGAUGAUGAUUUAGUACUCAUUCCAACAGAAAAUGUAUGACAUGCUUGCAUUCUGUCAGGAAUUUUUGACAUACCACAUAAGCAAUAGAAAGAAUGUCAAAUGAUUUGGAAGGUAAGCCUGUACUUUCACCAUUAGCAUGGACCCAACAGAUAGGAUUCAUUCUUGGGUUGCUUUUCUUUUCUUUAUAUUGAGCAACAGCAAGAAAAUAUGGUGACAGAUCCAGGCCCUGCAGAAAAUGCAGCAAUAAGAUUUUAGAGCACUGGAAAGUGUACCGGAGAGUAGAUUUACUUUACCUGAAGUACUGUUUGAAGCCCAAUUACAAAAUCUUUUAGCUAGAUCUCUUUAUUUUGAGACGUGCUCUACUUUUCAACCUUUAUUUCUUGUAACAGACUCGGUAAAUAAAAUAGGUACCAUGAAGAGGUUACUUAAGUAGAUGCUGCAUUGAUUUUGUAGGUUACUAUUGCAUAUUAGAUCAUUUCACUUGGGGAGUGGAGAAACUAGCUAGAAUACUUACAGUCACUCUAGCAUUGGGAAAUUUAUCAGCAAGGCAUCUUGUGCUGACACCAACUGAACAUCCGAUAUCAAGAAUUUGUCUGACAAUAUUGUCUUCUGAAUAUUUCUGAUGAUGUUCUUCAAUUGCAUUCAGCCAAUUUCCACGAACUACUUGAUUAGCUUCAUCCAAUGAAGAAGCAUAUGGUAUUGCCCGUCUCAUCAUCGACAUAGUUGCAGCCUCUGCCUCAGCAGCAGCCUGUUGAAGAAUCUCAUUAUGGAAUGCCUCGAAACUAGUGAGUACUGUACUCAUUGCUUCUGCAUUACUACUACUGAAGCAACUGGUAACAUAAAAUCAAUGAUACAUAUUCUUGUAAUAAAUUCGAGUACAUUAAAUCAACCAUUAUGCACAUUACCAGCCAGGAAAGAUUGCCCUCAUCAUAUGCAUGGAAGGGAUUGAGAUAAUCUGCAUAGGAACCGCAAGUAUGAAACAAAAUCAGUACCCAAAUUAGUACACAUAGGAAAUGCCGGUUUUUUGUUCUGAGCUCUAGAUUCAAGGUCACUUCCCUAAUCUUUUAGUAGGGUGUGAGGAAAGAAAAAAGAAGAAACUUAAGCAACUUAAAUUCUGGAAUACAGAGUUGUAACAAGCUUCUUUUAUUGUAGAAUUAUCAACAUCAAUGUUAUAUUGAAGUUAUCAUUGUUGCUGUUGAAACAUAAUCUCUUAAUUAAAUGACAGACUACAAAUUCAGGUACAAACUUUCUAACCACACAGCUGCUGCUAGUCCAAUGAACGAUUAUUGGAGACAAGAAUUUAAUCCAGUCUUCACCAGUACCACAAUAAUAGAGAACUUACAAUCAGGGUAAACAAGAGAGGGAUCCUCAAUACUGUCCAUUUCUCUGUAUACAUCUGAUUCCAGUAUCUGUCUAGUCAUUUCCCUCCAUGGAAUAUUUGUCUUCUCAGCUGUACUGUUUCAAAAUCCCACCAAAAUAUUCCCAAAGAAAACCGACAACCUUUUUUACACUCAAGAAUUUCAGCAGGAAAAAUCACCAAAAUAAAAAAUGAAGCCGCAUUUCUGAUGUAGAAUACAGUACCUUAUGAGUACUUGUCUUGCGCCAAAUUUCAUUAUAGAGAAGAGAGGUUUGAAGGAAAUGAGAGCUCCAACAAGGCGAGAAAGCGGAGUUUCACCGGUCCACCGCGGCCUUUCCAGCUGUCCCUCCUCAAAUGCCACCGUCGAUGACCCUUGGCCACUGCCUCCGCUAGUUGAUGCUGUCAUUUUAACCAUCAUCCUACUUUUGGCACGGCUUUUUGGUGCUCUUCUUCUAAGUGAGUCAUGAUGGCCUCCUACAUUAUCAGUACCGCUGCUUCCUACGGAUGUUUUGAUCCAUAAAUUCAGAUUGCUGAGCUUUGAUUGAGCGCAAAAGGCCAUCACUGAAGAAGUGCUUCUUCUCAGAGAUAUCGUCCGUAUUAAGGAGAAGAAGAGGCAAUUGGCAAGGAACAACAAACCUUUGAAGAAACGUUAAUUUUCCUAAGGUGGAAAUCUAAUCAGCAAAAUAUUCUUGACCAAUUAUAUACUGACACCUAUGCAUUACGUUUUCCAAAUCUUCUUUAUUGAGUGCCUGUCUAUACUCCACAACUUUGUGUCAAAUGAGAGAGAAGUCCAACAAAUGGGGUAAAUUGUAUAUUCCACCUUUAAAUUAUAGUAUCAAAUUUUCAUGUUGCGGCGCAAAUUUUAUUGUUUGUAAGACGCUCUUUUAACUUAUUCCAGUUUGGUCCAACUGUUAUUGGUUUUCACAAAACCUAAUCACCAGAUUUGUGCAAGUGAAAAUGAAAUUAGCUGAUUUUAAUUUAUUAGUUAGUCUAUAUUCCCCUGAAAAUCCCACAGCUAUUGAUUAAAUCGAACUUUGGAAAUAUAUAUAUAUAUAUAUAUAUACAAGUAGUGAAGGCUAUUAUUGGUUUGCUAUUAGAUAGAAUCUAUCCUAUCCAGAAAUCCCAUUGAAUACAUUAUAUAGUUUCACCUUACAAUAGAGUUGGGACAUUGAGAAACAUGUAAACAGCAAUAAAGAAAGAUACACACUGCGAGGUACUGAGUCAACAAACAAUCCCUUUAUAUGCUGCUGUUCAACAUAGAACAGGAUUCAUCAAAAUCCCCCAAACAUUAGAAUGUGGUCUCAGCUCACCGCUUUGCAACUCUUUUCCUCACUGCUGCACCAUUGUCGAUUCCCGCAUGUGGACUCAUCAUUGGACGCAUGCUGAUUCCCAUUCCAAUUUCCAACACACACAGUUGUCUGCUUGCAUAUGACACUGUAAAACUGUAACUCAGGUGUCUGUCCUCGUGGAAAUACUUUGGUCCUAGUCCCUGCAGCAUAACAGGCACCAUUUGCUGCUCAAGAAAAAGGCAGUCAUUUGCUGAAUCAGGAAAAAGGAAAAAUAGUAGAACAAAAUCAAGCUAAGUGACCGCAGCUAAAUUAAUUUACGAGUCGUUCAUAAAGGUGCAGGUCAAAACUCUUACCAGGCGUUUGGUUGGAGGGUUUACCCCCUCCCCGCUCUCUUCAAUGGCUAUUAAAAUUUUAAAAAGUGUCUCGUACCCAUAGAUGGUGCUUCUAAGGGUAUGAAACAAUCACUAUCAAAGACCCAAAACUUUUUGGGUAAUGGCGAUUACCGACCAAAUUUAAAAAAAAAAAAAAACACAUUACAAAACUACAAGGAGACGAAAAGAAUAGCAGCAAUUUGACCUUCCCACUGUUACUCUUCAUCCUCCUUUCUUUCUUCAUUUUCAUCAUAUUUCCAUCUUCCCCUCAAAUCUCAUAUAUAAUCUUUUCUUGGUGGUAAAACCAGAGGCUUUAUGUGAUUGGGCAAUUUAAUGUCAAUUUGGCUCUGUGCAUAAAAGGAUUUGUUUUGAUGUGGCAAUUUGACACCGUAUAUGGAUUUGUUGGAGCAAUGAAGCUGCAACAAACGUAAAAGAGCAAUUGAAGGACGAGUCAGGAUUUGGCUGUAAUAUAGAGGCAUUUUUAAGUACUAAUAGAAUUAUAAACAAACCGAAUAAAAAUAGAACAUUGGAAAUAUUAACUUACAACUUACCAGUUAACGAGUCAAACAUUGUUCAACGGAUAGAUAUAAGCAUCGGGAAUAUGUGCAAUCUUGGGCCACUCUGCGCCACUUCCUUUGGUGCAUCUCUCUGCUAAAAGAGGACACCUGGUGAUAGAUAGAUAAUUUAAAUUGGUGAGGUGUCGCAUUGCUUCUGCAGAGGGCAAUUGUCUGAGGUUAGAGCAAUUACCAAUCAACAAUUCUCGAAGAUUCCGAAGGCUACCCAUCCACUCUGGAAGAACUUCCAACCCCUCAAAGUCCCGUAUCUCUAACGUCCUCAAGGUAGAGAGAUGCUGAAUUUGGUCUGGGAGAGACGUGAUUUUUGGCCAUCCACGCAACCGAAGAAACUCCAGAGAGACGAGAUUGGUGAUGGAGUGUGGCCACGGGAAAUGAUCAAGGUCAAGAAUGUCAGAGAAGCCACCGAGUUCCAACGAUCUGAGGUUGGCUAGAUGGUGUAGAACCAUAAUUGGCCAAGAACCAGGGUCAUUAGAAACGAUCUUCAACCGCUCGAGCGAUGUGAACUUCUCAAGAUUAUUACUCAAUGAAGGAUUCAACUUAUCACAUCCUGAGAUGCGUAGAGCACGUAGGGAUUGGGGGUUUUUCAUAUCCAGAGAAGCACCUAAUAAAGCAGGGCAGUCAUCUAAAUAUAAGAAUUCGAGAGAUAUAAGGCUAUUCAAAUUCCUUAUACAAGCAAAACUUCCGCAUCUCUCUAUCCGUAACACCUCAAGAGAUGUCAAGUUCUCCAUAUCUGGUAAAAAAGCCAACUUGGGGAGCCCUUCGAUUUCCAAGUACCGGAGACUAGGGAAUACCUUAAUUGAUGAAGAAGAAUCCGAGGGAACCAUUGCAUCUGACCACUCCUCUAGCCUUUUCAUGUUCCGCAGCCCAAAACGCCUUAGUUUUGGAAACAGAGUGACUGGUUUCACCUCUCUGCUACUGGUGCUGCUACUACAAGAAGCGCUGCUCCUUGCAUUAAUAUCGAGAUGUGUAAGGAGACCAUAGAAUUCUGCCCCAAUGCGCUUCACAUUGUGUAAGGAGACCAUGUCUAAGGACUCGAGACAAGGCAAGUCCCCUAGUGAUGGUACUUGUUCACACUUACCCAAUUUCUCCAACCUGAGGUGUACCAGAUUCCUUAGGAGUACCAUCAAGUGAUCCUUUGCCACCAUCCAUGACGGAAACCUUGAACCUUUGAAACCAUUAAUGGCUAAACUUUUCAAGUCUGGGUGAGGUUGGAGACCUUCCAUGACACUGUUGAUAUUGUUGUCGUCGCAAUCUUCAUUUGUGUCAUCCCAUGAAAGUGUUAAACUUUGAAUGCUUGAUUUUUCGGACAACUUUGCUUUUGCUGCCGAUUCAAAGCUGCUCACAUUCUCAAGUCCAAAAAUUUUUAGCUCGCCUCGGAGGUUGCGCAAGUGUUCCAGCUCCUCAAGCUGACAUCCCUUGUCUUGGCUUACCACGAAGUAGGGCAACGUCCGAAGAUUAGCCAGCUGCCCAAUCCCAGGGAUCAAAUAUGAGGGCCGACCCGAAAAAAUCGUGGAAAACUCGAGAUGCCUCAAGUUAAUUAAAUUGCUAAACUUCUUAGGUAUCUCUUUCAAGCGACUUACUUUCAAAGUCAUCAAAUUGUAGAGCUUUGUGAUCGAAUCUGGCAGAGCGGCGAUUCGAGUUUGACUCAUAUCAAGAUGUCUUAAAUGUUUCAUAUUACCCACUGCAUUGGGGAGAUGAGUAACAUCCCAGCAGUCUACUUUUAAUACAGAAAGGUAUUUAGACCUUUCCAAGAUGUCUUCGAGCAUAAUACCAUCAUCCCCAAUAUAAUAAAGCGUUUGCAAAUUUGGAGGAAUCCCUUCGAUAUUCUUUAACAUCUUUCCUCGACUCAGAACAACGGUCAAAUGCACAACUUCAUCAUUAUGACUGACCACCAUGCCAUUCUCUGUAUUUAAGAAACAAUUAUUUGACACUCGCAGUGAAAGAUCAUGCACAAGGUCGUGCAUCCGGCAGUAGUUGAUUUCUUUACUAGAAUACUCAGGAAUAGCUUGCAACAAAGAACUCCGAAGCAAUACGUUGAAGCAGUCGCUGCCUACAUCCUCCAUUUGCAAAUGACCUCCUCCCCUUGGCAUCAUUAAUCAAUCCCUGGGCCAUCCAAAUCUGUAUCAAGCUUUUUUUUUCCAUGCCAGUGUCCUUCGGGAAAAUGGAACAACUUGCAAAGCAUUGUUUCACUGACAAUGAAGGUAAGUUCUCGUAACUCAGCUUCAGGACAGACAUGACUCCACCUUCAGUGUUGGUUGACUCGUUCCAUAUUUCACUCUUCUCAAGCUUCAACCAUUCCGAGGCAUCCUUUUUGGAAUACAACAAACCCCCAAUCACUUUGAUUGCUAAUGGCACGCCGCCACACUUUUUCAGUAUCCUUCUGCCAAUGUCCACCAAAUCUUGAGUCUUUCUUGCACCACCGUUUGCAAAUGCUAGUUUUUCAAGCAACAUCCAGCUAUGAUCAUCUGAGAGGAUGCCUAGAGGAUGCAAACCAGAUGUUUGCAUUGCUGAGGCUACCUCAUCACUACGUGUGGUAGCCAAUAUUUUGCUUCCCGGAGCACCCCCAAUUGCCAACAAACGUCUCCUCAUGCCAUCCCAUUUCUCUCGAUUCUCAUUCCAAAUAUCAUCAAGUACAAGCAAGUAACUUUUUCCUUUCAGAUUUUCUUCAAGCUUCCUCACCAAUGCUUCCGUGUUUGUUGUGUCAGCACUUUUUCUCUCAAGGGAUUGCAGCAUCUCAUUCAACAGCCUUUUCACUUUGAAAUCAUCAGACACGCAUACCCAUAUUUUUUUAUCAAAGUGCUUCAUUACACUGUCAUUUUUUAGCACCAUCUGUGCAAGGGUUGUUUUACCCUGGCCACCCAUCCCAACUAUUGAGAUGACAGGUAAAUCCUUCUUAUAGUCUGAGCUAAUUAACAUGCUUACAACUUGAGAUACCUCAACCUCCCUUCCCACCGUUUCUGACUCGUCCACAAAAGGAUCAGUCGACCGAUCCUCUUUUUGAUCAGCAGAUGGCAUGGGUAGUUGAGCUGGAUAAAGCCCUAUCUGAUUUGCUUCUGUGUAAGCUUCCUCUAGAGAUGCGCUAACAUUCUUGAUCUUGUUAGCCAUCUCUGUACGAAAGAAAAUAGGAUUUGAGGAAGAAAAGAAAUUGCGUACCUUGUCGCGCUUCCGAUUCUCAACCUUCUGCCGCAGAACUUCAUAUCCGAAGUCAUCCAACACGAUCUCAGCAUCACGUGCUAUGGACUGGAGCCUUUUGAGCCAGAGCUGCACGGCUUUGCUUGUUGAUUGCUUGCACUUAGCAUCAAAAAUCAAAGCUUCCAUCAUCUCUACUUUCUUCGCAAGCUUCUGAAGGUCUUUCUUUACACCCCAUACCCGGCUGAUCUCGUCGGCAGCAAGUGGAAGUAUCUUAUUCAAGAUUACACCAACACAACUGAGCGCAGCUUCAGCCAUUUUCAGCGAAACUCUUUUACAGAAGAAGGUAAAAUGCUUUGGUUGAAUAGUUGGACUAUUUUUGGCAGCUAGAGAUGUUCAACAUUCAACAGCUAGCGCUACAAAGUAGGGAACCCAUUACUUAUCUUUCGUUUUUUUCCAAAACGAAAUUUCCUACCAAGUUGGAAAACUAAAAAAGUAGUGCUCCAAGCAAAGACUAGAGAUGAUAUCCAACGACCAAUCCAGGGCCACACGGCUUGUGGGUACCAUUGAAAUAAUUGAAUGCAUAGAUGUUAGUUGAAAGCUGAAACAAUACACGAGCUGGGCUUUGGUAGGAUCACCAACGACUAAUUAUGGUUUUUUCUUUCUUCAUGGUAACAUUCAUGCAUCUGGGUACAAGUUCUACACACUUUCAAUCGAGUAAUCCAUUUUCAAUCAUCUUUUGUACAUGUGACAAUACUUAUCUGUUCAUCGCCCUAAUGUUCUCAUAAUUCAUUGCCAAAGCUGGAGAAAAGUGUUAAAAACAUAAAAAGGAAAAAAAAGCUGUGUUUCUUUCUUGAACAAAGCAAUAUAUUAGCAUAUAUCUUCCAUUGAUCCCUAGGCUCCACUGAAAGAAUUAUUAUCUUCGAGCAGUACUUUUUUUGGUUUUUGUUUUUUUACUUGGCUUUUGGUAGGGUCUUCACAUGUUAAAGCAAAAAUACUUAUGAUAACAAUAAUUAGUGAAAGCCUUGGAUGCAAUGUGGAACUUAAAAGAAGGGAUGAGUAAAAGAUUCCCCGAGAAAGGGUGUGAAAACUUAAAGAAAAGGAAUGGAAAAUUUUGCCGAACAUUGAAAUUUCAACCUCUAGAUACUCAUAAUGGUCAAUAUCUAUUAUUAAGUAGGCUCCAGUUAUCAGACAAGAUAAUGCAAAUGCCUAACCAUACGUCCAAAUUGUGGUCUCCACCAAUACAUCUUCAUAAAGCAACUACUGACUCACGGCACCACCCAUGAAUACUGAGCACCUGUUACCUGUUAAUCAUCCAUGAAUACUGUAUUGAAAUCCAAUUAUUCCCAUCUACUGAACUGAUGAAAAUAAUUCAGCUUGAUGAGAGAGUCGAGAAAAGAAACAAGAAUGUAAAUUCCCGUGGACGCAUCACAACAGCAUUUGGUUGUAUCAUUUGACAAUUUCAAUACCUAAAGACCCUUUGACUAAAAAUGGCAAUUAACAAAUGUUAAACAACACAGUCAACCGAAUAUUGCGAAUAUAAUACAUACACUACAAGGUCUUUCAUUCAUUGAAUCCAAGAGAAGUUUAUAUGAUGACUGCGAACUUAUUGGCAGACGCUAUGAGCCGGAGAUGUUUCGAUUUUUCCUCAGUACAAGAAGCAAAUAUUAUCACCUACAAGAAGCUAGUGUUGAACAGAGGACCAAGAGUUUGUCUCUAACCAAUUGAAAGCUAUAGGGCUCAGGAACGCAUCAGGAAUGCCAAAGGAGCUGACCAACGAAAGUGCAUGCGGUCUCAGUUCCUCGCAAAGCUUUGCAACUUCUUUUCUCACUGCUGCAGCAUUGUCUGCUGACAGGUAGCCAUAUCGGAGUCUGGUUCCAAAUUCCAAGGUAACCAGGGCAUAGAUCGAUUUCAAAAGACCUAAUAGGCUCUGCAAGAAGAUUCAUAACCAACUAGUCAUGCGCUGUAAGUUGACAUUUAACCGACUGCGGAAAUUGUUCAUUUUAUUUGUCAACAAUCAAUUAUCAACUAGAAGAGGAAGAUCAUAACAAAUUUCCAUCCACGAACCUGCAACAUGAACUCAAGAAAUGAGGAUAAGCUCUGGAGAAAUAUCCUUCUCUUAGGUUUCUUACGUAUUUUCUCUAAUUUAAAGCCAUAACAACACACUCUGCUCCUCAUGUUUUUCAUAUACAAAGGGUCGCCCUGGAAAUUUAUCAUUAGUUGCUUCUAUACCAAAGAGUCAGAUAACAGAGAAGUCUGUAGCCCACGAUGAAAUCCAACAUUACAACAACGUUACUCCAUUUUUGUGACUCUUCUAUGCCUAGAUUUCUCAAGAAUGCAUCACCAUACAUCAAACAUCCUACUUCAACACCUUCUACACAUUUCCCUCGGCCUUUGUAUCCUCCGAACUCAUUUAGUAGAAGACAUUCAAGAGGAUACUUCAUCAAGCUCAAAUAGUGCAUGAAGAGCCAAUACUUGGGUAUUUCUUUGUUAGAUAUGAAGUACCCCGAGAAAAAAGAAGAAUGCACCCAUGAUGCCUGCAAUCAAAGACAUUCCUGAUAUGAAAUUCGGUACCAGAGCACUGAAGCAGCUGCAAAAGAAUUUGCCAUUGAGAGAACCAUCCAAGCCACCAGACAGAAAUAAAGGAAUCCAUCGAUUUUGCAUCUCAGUCCAACUAGCCAGUGAAGUGGAGUGGUGAAGAGAGGAGAUAGUUGCAAAAGGAAGGCAACAAACACUAGGGUGUCUGCUAUGGCAUAUGAAGAGAGGUGCGUUUCUUGAAUAUUGGACAAAAUGGAAGUUCUGAUAACAUGAUCAGUAAUAUCCUGUUUUACUUCACCUUUUUCAACAUCAGAUUUUUCAUGGACGGGCUUUCUGAAACAUCAAUUGCAUAUUCAAGAAUAUUGACAUGCUGAGGAAUGCAAUGGCCAGUGGACUUGAGCCUCUCUUCCAGGCAAUCCAGGGGACCAUCAUGAAGAACGAUAUCACCAGAUAACAUAAUGACUUUAUCAAAUAACUCAAGAAUUCGGGGUCAAUCACUAAUCUAACCUAUAUUAAGGGAUAUUUUCGGCAAAUGAUAUCGUCAAAGCACACAUUUUAGUUCUACAGCAAACCUCGUGUGCAAUGACAACUAUAGCUUUUGCCACUCAAAAACUGAUCAUCAUUUUUAAAAGGAUAAAAGUGUUAUUUCAUGAAUAUUGUGCAGUGGCAUUAUCACAAGUCUAAGUGUAUUAGGCUGGUAAUUGUGAGACUCCUAAUUGACUCUCAAAACAUGCUCUUUUCCUUUCUCGGCACAAGAGGCUUCUGGUUUCUUUGAAAAAAAAAUACAAAUAAAAACCCAAACUUUUAUGGAUUAGACAUGAAAAAGUUCUAAUGACGAAUUUCACUAACUCGUGCAAUUAAUUAAGUUAAACAACGCAACCAAAAAUAGUUAAAUUGAUACAACAUUUUCGGCGGGACUUCUUCUUCAGCAAAGAUGCUCUCAACUUGUCAAUUUGGCUCAUACAAGUUCAUUUCUGGACUCGACCUCAAUUUGUAAGAAUGAAUAUUUUAGAAAUGGUUCAGAAAUUUCUUCUCUUAAAUUAAUCAAAUAUUGGCUUCUCCCCUUUGUCAUCAGUCAUAAGUAUAAUCUAGACGUAAAUUGUGCAUGGUUGGAGAACUUUUUUUAGUACAGUAAAUUUUCUAUUGAAGCAGGAUGUUUGAAAAUGAUAUGUUAACAAUCUUGGCAUUGAAAUUUACUUACAGUUAUGAAAACUAAAUAAGUUUCCAUUGCUUUGCAACAGAUAUGAUUCAUUGCUGUAACCGUUGAAAUUUUAGACAUGUGAUUGAAACUGAAUUUUCAUUGGUGAAGUAACCUAUGACUUGUGGUGGUUAAUAACGUAUUCAAUGUAUGACAAUCAAGGAGCAUUUAGGGUUGUUUACACGCAUGUUUAUUUCUGUCAUCAUGCUAAACUCUGAAUUUCUAGAGUUAAGCAACUAAUUGCGUGAUUUACCAUAUAUUUCAUUCUUUUUCUAUGCUUUGCUAGUGUUGAUACACACGCAUUAUAUUCUGAUAUUGGAUUGUUAAGGAGGACAACAAUCCAUAGAAGGUAAAAAAAACAAAGAAUGAAGGUAAAAACCGUACUUGUACUCUUGGUCUGGCCUUCUCCUUCUAUAUAUCAUAUAGCCAAUUACCUUGCUUAAUUAGUAAAACUCCAUUAUGAUGAAGGAAACAAAUAAAGGAGAUGCAAUAUCCAACAGAAAUGGAAAAUUAUGUAAACACUGAAUUGGAAAACCUCUCUCUUCCCUAUCAAAUCCAAGUGUGCUAAGUUAAUCGUUGAGAGAAAAGCUUCAUACGUACAGGACAUGCAAGUUUCUUGCAUUUAAAGUAAGAGUAACGUACACUAAUAAUGUGUGCAAAAGUAACGAUCUUGUGUCUAUAUCAAAAAAUAAAAGGUUUUGUAAUAAUGGGUGGAUCAAUUAAUUGUACUCAAAAUUGUUGUUUCUGUACGCUAGAAUUUGUACCUGUUCAUCCAUGAAUUGUCCAAUUGUCCACCCCUUAUCCUGUGGCAUCGGUUAUAUUGCCUAUGUAACGGCUGUUCUAUAUCAUCAAUUUAACGGAAACAACUCCUAUAUACUUUGUCAGAGACUCAUAAUUUGUGUGUAGCGAUUGGUGAGAUAACCAAGACCAGCUCAAUUCAUUCUGCAUUUAUUCCUUCUUAUAAUUAACUUUCUAUUGUGGCCGUUUCAAUUGAUUAUACACUCAAUUGCAUUUAUUCUAUAGUGGAACCAAGAAAAUGACCCCCUAAACGCAAAAAACCACUUCUUGAGUAUAAUGAGCAAAUCCAAGUUGAGAUUAAAUAGCUGUAACCAACCUUUGACUGAUUCAUUGUAAUUUACACUUUAUUUUUUUUUUUUACUAGAAAAAAAAAUCACUUUAGUCUACAGAGAUAUGCUUUAACAGCAUCAGCCUAGCAUGCAUGCUUUUAUAACAUCAUGAUGAUGAUCAGCUGCUUGGACUCUGAGGUGUAUAAAGAGGGGCAAGUUUGGUGGAGUUAGUUCGUCCUCCUCCACACUUCAUCCUAUUCUUUCUCUCCACAUGGAUUUACCAACUGUGACACCAAUUUCUGGUCAUCAACAAGUUCUUUAUAGUAUAAAAACUAAAAAUCUUUCAUAUAAAAUAUCAACAACCAGCUACGAUCAGCUCGGUUGUGGCGUUAACCAGAAGCCUAGGUGUAUUUUGAAGAAUGUGAACUGCGAAGCCAAACCGAGGGAGAUAACAGCCAUUGCUGGCUCCAGUGGAGCAGGAAAAACCACAUUGUUGGAAAUUCUUGGCGGAGUCAUUGUUCCGAGUAGAGUCAGCGGUCAUGUUCUCGUGAAUGAUCAGCCUCUGAAUGUGACACACUUCCGGAGAAUGUCUGGUUAUGUGACACAAGAUGAAGCUCUAUUCCCACUUCUUACUGUUGAAGAGACUAUAAUGUAUAGUGCACGUCUCAGGCUGCGUGUAGGGCGUGAGGUGGCCAAAAAAAGAGUUCAAGAGCUGUUGAAGGAGCUUGGACUGGACCAUGUUGCUGAUGUGAGAAUUGGCAGUGAAUCCGGCAGAGGAAUUUCUGGUGGCGAGAAGCGUCGAGUAUCAAUUGGGGUUGAUUUAGUUCAUGAUCCUGCUGUAGUUUUGAUUGAUGAACCAACAUCAGGACUUGACUCUGCCUCUGCUCUUCAUGUGAUGUUGCUGCUUAAAUCCAUGGCUAAGAAUCAAGGCAAAACCAUCUUGUUAAGCAUCCAUCAACCCGGCUACCGGAUUCUUGAGUUAUUUGACAAGGUCAUUCUAUUGUCCAAUGGCAUUUGUCUUCAUGAUGGAACCCUGCAUUGCCUAGAGGAGAGGCUCGUUUCCACAGGCCAUUUCAUCCCUCAUCAUGUCAAUGUGCUUGAAUUUGCCAUUGAGGUCUCAGACAGCCUGCAUGUGGAAGAAACUGAUAUCGAAACUGGUGAAUCAGAACAUAACACUAACCUUGACAGCAAUUCGCCUGUUAUUUCCAAUGUGGAGGAAAAGCACAUAUCUUACUCAAAUUCCAUGUUCAAGGAGAUAUUAAUACUGACUCAGAGAUUCUCCGAAAACAUCUUCAGAACCAAGCAGCUUUUUGCUGCAAGGACGAUUCAAGCUUUGGUUGCAGGGAUCCUAAUAGGGACAAUAUUCCUAAACGCAUAUAAUAAUCCAAAGAGAUCAGACGUACAAACUCAAUUUGGAUUCUUCGCAUUCAGUCUGACGUUUUUGUUGUCAUCCACGACAGAAGCUUUGCCAAUUUUCUUGCAAGAGCGGAGAAUCUUGAUGAGAGAGACCUCAAGAGGAGCCUAUAGAUUAUCUUCUUACAUCAUAGCAAACACUAUAGUGUUUCUUCCCUUCCUUCUGUUAGUGGCUCUUCUGUAUACUACACCAGUUUACUGGCUAGUUGGAUUGAGACGAGAUAUUGAUGGAUUUCUGUAUUUCUCUCUGGUGGCUUGGAUGGUUGUCUUGAUGUCAAAUUCUUUCGUAGCAUGUUUUAGCGCUCUAGUACCAAACUUCAUCUCAGGAAUGUCCUUGAUUGCGGGCAUUAUAGGGGCAUUCUUCCUCUUUUCAGGCUACUUUAUACCCAAGGAAAAUACGCCCAAGUGUUGGAUUUUUAUGCACUACUUGAGCUUGUUCAAAUAUCCUUUUGAGAGCUUUCUGAUAAAUCAGUUUGGAGGGGACAAGGGGCGAAGGAAAUGCGUGGCAAGUGUUGGAAGAGUGUGCAUACUGCAUGGUAAUGAGUUCUUGAGGAGGCAAGGCAUAGAGGAAUCACAGAAAUGGAAUAACUUAAUUAUAAUGUUGGCUUUCAUUUUGGGCUACAGGCUUCUCUGUUUCUUGAUUCUGUGGUGCAGAUCUUACCGGAGCAGAAACUAAAAGUAGCAUCUGAGCAUUCAAAUUAAUAAGAACUUGUUAGUUUCUUGAUCAUUACCUGUGUGAAUACCUCAAAUAUCAUCACUGCUGAUUCCUUCUUUCUUGAUGUCCUGCUGUAUCGUUAUUCAGCAAAGAAGAGAAAAAAGAGGUCCUAGGAUUUUAGCAGCUUGUUAAAGUGAAAAUAUUCUUUUGAACAAAAUCCAGCAAUUCUUGAGAACUCACCUUUUAGCGCUGAGUUUAUUGUCACUUUGAGUUGGUAUGAAAUAUGAAUGUCUCAUAAGAUGGUACUGGAAAUACAUUUACAGCAAUCUACUUGACAAAUUGCGUUUUCAAAACUUUGGCAUAUCCAUCAUCCCUUUUUGGCAUUUAUUUUUCCUUAAAUUAUCUGGAAUUCAGAUUACUUAAUACAGAAACUAGAUCCAUGUGUUAUUAUUACCUCGAUCAUCCCCUGUGAGUGCAAAGUGGGACAAAACUUAGUUUAGGGGGCAAAUUCAAAAGCCAGAUAUGGUUUUGUCCUUCCAGCAUAAUUCUGAAAAAUCUAAGAAUGGCUCGUGGUGGUUUUAAAGAGCCGAUAAAGAAUUGCUUGGAAAUCUUCUUUUGGGGAAUUAGUAUCUUAACAUCUUAAGUUGACCUCCUCUCUUUGUGUACGUCAAAAACUAAAAACAAAAAUAAAGAUUUACAUAUAUAUAUAUUAUUAAAAGAUCAUUUUCUCUAACUUGUCUUUUAUUUCCAUUUAAGGGCAACUUAAUGUUUAAUUAAUAACACAUUUAUCGUAAGAUCUCUAAAAACUAAUAACCUUGAGACCACACAAAUUCUAUUAAUUUAAAGAGAUAUUAAUAAUUGAUAAAUUAAUAAUUUAUUAAUUUAUCAAGUGUACUUACAAUUCAAAGAAACACUCAUUUAAUCAACUAAAAUUUCAUUUUAUUUUAUAAAAAUAUGAAUUAUUUUAUUAAGAAAAGGAGGCUAAAAGUCUAUUGAAUAUAAACCGAUCCAUAUUUACUUGAUUUGCCAGUAUAAUUUUAUUCUAUUAAUGUACAUAACUAAUAUCAUUUUUCUAUUAUCAAAAGGUCAAAAAGAGUUAGAAAUACUAAAUUAUUUUAUUCUAUUUUUCUGUUAUUUUACAUUUCAUUAAAUGCAUCUAACGAAUCAGAUUAACAAUGUUAUGUAUAUAAAUAUCUAUAUAAAUGACAAGAAAGUGUUAUUCUAAUAAAUAAAUACAAAGUUUUCUUACAUAUCUCAUUGUUAAACUAUGGUUUCUCAAUUAAAAAGUGUUUAUAAAUGACUGAUCAAAUGCAUAAAGCAUCAUAUGAGUAUAGUAUACGUAAUUUUAGUGAAUUAUCAAUUUAUAAUAUGAACGAGACCAGACAGUUAGGCAAAGUUUUGAAAAAAUUAUUAUCAAAAUUAUUAAUUUAGCUCUUUAGUCCAAGUCGGGAUCCGAAAAAUUAUUAUUUAACAGAGGUUAUUAACUUAUCGAGUAUUAAUUUAUAGAGAUUUUACCGUAUUUCUUUCAUUGUUACAAUUAUUAUGUUUCUCGUUUGUAAGAAUUACAAAUAGUUCUUUAACCAGUUAUGUAACAUUAGCCAAGUUUCAAACUAAAUCUUAGAAUUAGAACAAUGAUUUGGGAUCAUUUUCAAUUGCUUUCUUCAUAGAUUUGUCGAGUUCCACAUUAUUUAACAGAAGUGAAGUCAAUAUGCAAAAAUCAUAUACUUAAGACGAUAACAGUACCAACUCUCUGAAGAAAGGACAAUUGACUGGAAUUUUUAUAAAAUGCAAGCAAGCAGCAAGAUAUGAUUAUUAGCUGCAAGUUGUUUAGCCUCCCUUCCCCAUCGUACAUUUGUAUCUUUUAAUUCACUAGUUACAUGCAAUAACUCGUGCAACACCAUAAUUAGUUUAUACAUGCAAAUUGAAGGAUGACAAUAACGUCACAGAUGAGCCUAGCAAUUCUGCACCGGAUUUGCCAUCAACCAUACAUGCAAUGGUCUAGUAGCAGGGAUAACAAUGCAUUAUAAUUAGAAUUCUCCCACAGGUACUGUACUGACCCCUGCAGUCCGGUAUGGCCAAUCUUAAAUUAGGCUUUUUAGCUUUCAAAGCCUGAGAGAGGACAAAAUCAACUGUGUGGCUUUAUACAUAUUUAACUACUAGACUGAUAAUUGAACCAUUUCCGUGGAACAAAACCUUAGAUUAUACUUAAAAGUCCAAGAGAAGCGAGCUAGCUAACAAUUUUCCAGAACACAAAAGAGAUCAACUGUGUGUUUGCUCAUGUUAGCCUCUUAUUGUAAUCCCUGAAUCCAAAAUUCUCUACUUUACCACAAUCACUAAAACGAGUUCGGAGAUUUCCAAGGUAAUAGAAAAUCCAUCCUUUCUAACAAGCUCAAGAAGAACGGGGGAAGAUUCUCUUGCAUGGUUUGAGUUGAUAAUCGUGGGAAGUUCCAUGCACUAGAUUAGCACAUUCUAGGCACCCGCCAUGCACUGUCAUGGGCAUCUGAGACCAUGAUACAAACGCUGAAAAGCCAUCGUAGUGGGUGUAUAUUAAUUCCCUUCAUCCUAAAAGAUUAUCCUUCAAAGUUAUAAAUUUCUGAUGCCAUCAUUGUGUUUCCAUAUGGUAAAUAUGCUAGUAUAUUUUCAGUUCCUAAUUUACAUCAAAGCAUAGUAGAGUUUUUUCUUAAACUCCAAUUUCUGUGUUUUUCCCUUCUUAAAGCAAUAAAGAACAAAGAGGACGUGACUUCAAUCCAAUUUCCUAAUUUAUCAGAAGUGCCAAGGCAGAGGACAUGACUUCAUAUGAUAAGAGUAAAUAAAUAAAUAGGAAUAUUUCUUAUGAUUCAUGAUUUCGUUCUAUAUAUUGCAAGAAAUACAACAGAUUCAUACACGUACAACAGAUGGCAUAUGCAAUGGCAUAUACAUCUCUUUCUGUACCUAAAGCAGAAGAAGUAUAUGCUAGUGCAUAUGUCAUCAAUCCCCAUAUCCCUAUAUCUUGCACCUGAUCGACUGGAUAAUGGAAAACUUACAGUAGCAGAAACAAAAAACACAACCCAACCUAUCUGUAAACGUCACCUUGUCACCAGAAGUUUUCUAAGGAAGAUGAACUUGAAGCAUUAAAGAGAGAAACUCUGCGUCUCUUGUUUGAGAGAGCAUUUCUUGACAAGAACUCUUCUGAUGCAUAAAAUUUAUCAAGUACGGACCUCAAAGCCUGACGAACUGAAUUUACAAGGAGCUCCCGUCCCUCAGAAUUCUCAAGAUUCUGUUGGUCACAACCAGUCAUCUCAAACACAUUCACCAUCCUACUUCCUAAGGUCGCAAUUUCAGCACUCACAGUUUUCAGAGGAAGGGUUUCAAGAGCUUGUCUCAAAUCAGAAAAAAGCUCAUGCUUAUAAUCGCAACAAAGAAAUGCCCUGAUCGUAUACGAAACUUCUCCAGCUGCAUCUGCUUGGUGUUCUUCUACUCUUACUUCAUCAGUGUCUGUUGGCACAAGCAUACCCUUAGUAGCUUCAGUUGCCUUCUUUCUCAAUUCCUUCACAUGAUUAAUUACUUCAGCAAGUAAUGCUGCCUUGUCCAUCUGGUAAUCAACAAAACAAUAGUUAAUCUAGCAUUUCUAUAAUUCAUAUAACAUGAAGCAAAUUUGACCAAUCUAAUAUCAUGUAACAUGUAGCAGUAGCAUGAACUAUAGAACGAGAAGGCAGUUGACAACUGUAUAAGUUUCAUGAUAAAAGUCAAACGCACCAUAGCAUAUUUGAAGUGUAAAUCAACAAAGUGCACCAACAAUGGAUUUCUAGAAUCUUCAACCAUGUGUAGAAAUUUUAGAAGCUAAGAAUUAUCUAGCCAUAUGAAGAAACUCUAAAUUGCAAAAGAUAGUUUUGAAAACUAUUUCAUGAAUUAACAACACACGGAACUUGAAUCCCAAAUUACUUUACAAGUUUUGUUCGAAGAUCAAACAAUACAGUAAGCUUGAUCCCAACUUAAUCCUACAAGAGCUGUGCAGUGAAAGCUUCUGAGCGUGAGUUUGAAACCACCGCUCGAUACAGAAGCACUGAAAACCGUUUUCAGCUACCAAUUAAAAUAGUGCAAAAUAGCAUUUGUUACGCCACAGAAGAGAGGAGAUCAAUAACAGAACUUCCGCUAACACCAGAUCAAUCAUUGAACCACGGGCUGGUGUAAAUAAGUCCGUGUUCCCUUGCAUAAAACGAGUGAUGCUCACAAAAAUAGCAAGCUUAAUAACUUGUAGUAUAAAGAAAACAAAGCAUAAAAACAUCACCAAGAGUAUAUCCAAAAUCAUCCAGACAACUCUUGCAAACGUAUUCCUCGGAGUGGCACUUGUAAACAACAGUACAUACAUGGCCCAUCCCUUAUCCAUAAGGAACAUGACUAUAUCGAGUUCAGAAUAAUCCAUUCUUGUGAAUUAACACUCAAACAUCAGAUCAAAAGAUUGACAUGAAUUAACAAACAUAUGGAAGCAGUUCUUAACAGAAAACAGAACAAAAGCAAAAGUGGAAAAUCGUUACCUUACUUGUUCCGGGAAUUAGACUCCUGAGAGAAGUCAAAUGACCAUUAAUUCUCUCCCUUCUUCGCCUCUCAGCUUCACUAUGAUUCCUCAAAGCAAUCAAUGCCUUUUCUGCAUUAACCCCUUUUUGCCCUGGCCUUACCAGAGCCCUCACUAGCUCUCCUUUUUCAUUAUCCAAAAUCAGUGAAGAAGAUGAGCCCGACCCAUUUUUCACCGUCCCUUGAUACCCAUAAUUCUCAGGAAACCCAUUGAAAGAAUUCAAAAAUUCCAUCUUUUUCACCCUCCCCAAAAAAUCCCUUCAAAAUUUGCAGUAACAACACAAAAAUGAAGCUAUUUUAUGUCAGAAAAAGCGUGAGCCAGGUGGACGGUUUGUUGGAGAUGACCACACAGAAAACAUAGGGUGAGAGAAUUUCAGAAUUCUUGAACUGAGCUUUACUUUUUCAGCUGUCUUAUUGACUUCCAUCCGUUAAAGUGGGAAACUUUGGGGACAGAAAAGUAUUUUCA